AAAGAAUAAGUCUAUACUCUGGCCCCAGAGGCCCUGUCCUCCGGGUGACCAUCCUCAUAUGCUGCAUAGUAAAAAGGCCCAGCAAGGGUCAUCUUGCCAACAAGUGUCAAGUCAUCUAUUAGAGCUCUGUCCAGUAGCUCCAUCCUCCUAGCAAUCCUUGUCACAUAAGGUCCGCAACAGAGAAAAGUCUUCUUUGGGUUCCCAAUAACAGUCUUGCACUGCUUGGCUAACAAAUAACCCAUGUCCACCCUCCUCCUCAAUGUAUGGCCCAUAAACAGAAUACAUCAGGCUGGUUGACCACUCCAAAACUGUCCCCUCGACCUAUCAAUGUAUAGCUAGUAGGGAGUGAAGAUAUCGAAGGCUAUCAAAGUGGCUAGAUGAGUUGGACUUGCUCGGGUAGUAAGGCUCGUCCACCUCUCAUAUGGUCUCCUAGGCCUUGUCAAAAGAGAUUCCCGAAUUGUAUAUAGAGGUUCUAUAGUUGUUUGAUGCAAUCUCCUUCUUAGUAAACAGUCCCAAUGCUACUCCAAACUCGGGAAUGCUCAUCAUGUGUAUAUAUCCCCCUAACUGAAAUGAAAUAGACUCUGGCUAAGACCAGUCUCUAAUCUGACUUUGGAGGAAGAAGGUGGAGGUGAACUCAAGUGUGAGCUCUCUAUAGGUAGGCUCUACUAUGCUGAAAAAGGCCUUAAAAGGAUGUGUCUGAAUAAGCUCUUAAACCUCAGCAGCUAGUCCUACUGUAUCUAAUGUCUGCCAGUCUAUACAUCUCCUACAGCCUAACUGUCUGUACCGUAGCUGCUGGUAAUAAGCCUCGUGAGUAGGGCUCUGAAAUUGUAAAAGUCUGUGUCAUGCGGGAGCUGGAAGUGGAGCUAGAGCUCUAGGGGCAGGUAAGGCAGGGUGCUCGAGGUGCAGGUGGUGCAGACUGUAUAGGCAAAGGUGGUUGCACAGUCUUAGAGGUCUCGCCUGUAUGCCUUCUCUUGGAGACACCCAUCUUCUAGGGUCUCUCUUACUAAUUAGCCAUAGUACCUGCAUGGAAAUUAAUCAAAACUCUUGCCAAAAUAGUAAUUCCGACAUCAAACAAACAACCAUACAAUAACAACAACAGUUUAACAGCAAUAUAACAACAAUUUAACAUCACAAGCAUAUUUACAUUAUGCAAUCUCAAUACAUUUCAACAUAGCAAAACAACAAAAUGAUAAAGCAUAAUAUCACAGCAGCAUAACAUUUGCAUUAUACAUUCUCAGCACACUUGCAUUAGUCAAUUUUCAAUUCAGUAGUAUAAUGACUAAUUCACCAAACUAGCUCACACUUCAGCAAAUUCAAACAUACAAAAUAGCAGCAAUAAGGCAAUUCAAAGGUAGAACAGAAGAAAAAAAAAUAUGAACAAUAGUAACGAAUAAAGCAAUAAUAGCAAAUCAAAAUUAAAAGAAAAGCAAGAAAUUUAACGAAGCAACAAAUAAAAUUCAACAAAAGUGACGAAUUUAACAAAAUAGGAAAAUAACAAGGAGAUUGAUGAAAAUAAGAAACAAUAAAAUUCACAGAGAUACGAAGAAAAUAACAAAAGAAAAUCGAGGAAACAAAAGCAAUAAACAAAAAUCAAAGAAAAAAACUCGAGGUAGAAAAAUGAAAAUAUAACAGAAUAACUAAAAAUUAUAGAAAUAACUAAAGAAAUUAAAGAAAAGAGUAGAAUCACAUACCAAAAAAUGGAGUAUUGAACAAGGUUAAAGGAAGAAACUUGAUUUAUCGGAAAACACUUGAAAAUUGAAGGAAAAGAGGGAGAGGAUAUUGGACUAUACAUGUGAAGAGACAAAAGAGCAAAAAUUUUGAACUUGUGAUACGAUGCGACUUAUAUCGGCGCUGAUGUCAACACAUCCAUGUUCCAGGCCGUGCUGACUGGCAUGGUUUGGUUCUAGGCCGUGCUAAUUAGCAUGCCCGGUCCCACAACACGUGUAAGUCUUGGAAACCAUACUAAAUUCUAAUUUUUUUCUCAACACGAUGUGGGUGUCCUCAAAACCAUCUAGAAAACAGUAAAACAUAUGCCCAGAUAACCUUUACAAUAUUUGGUCAAUAAAAGGAACAGAAAAAUUGUCAUUUCGAGUGGCAUCAUUUAGCCUCAAGUAAUCUAUGCACACUCGAAAGCCUAUAACCAUUCUAGUCGGUAUAAGCUUGUCCUUCUCAUUUUUAACCACAGUCAUACCUCCCUUCUUAGGAACCACUUGCACAGGAGUAACCCAGGAACUAUCAGAGAUUGGGUAAAUCAAACUUAUAUCAAGAAGUUUAAUUACCUCUUGUUUAACCACUUUCUUCAUGUUCGGGUUCAGUUUGCGUUGUGGUUGCACUACUGGCUUGUAACUAUCCUCCAUAAGGAUCUUGUGCGAGCAAUAGCUAAGACUAAUCUCAGGAAUGUCAGCAAUUUUCCAAGCAAACACCUUCUGGUACUUCCUAAGAGAGGCCAAAAUCAUCUCCCUCUCUUCAGGUGUCAAGUCUACUGCUAGAAUGACAGACAACCUGUUGUCCUCAUCCAGAUAUGCAUAGUUGAAAUGCUUUUUGGGAGCUCUUUCAACUCAAGGACUAGUGGUUCCUCAAGUGAUGACCUCAAUUUCUGCACACCUACCUUGUCAAUCUCAACAAACUUAUCAGUAUUCUUGUUUGGUUCAUUAGCUAAGAAAAAUGCAAGCUGCUCCAACAAACUCUCAUUGGAUAGCUCAUGCUCAUCCUCUGCUUGCAAGGCAACAUGUAAAGGAUCAUCAAGCAAUAUCUCCUGCAAGUGUGUAUCAAUAAUAUCAUCAAGUACAUCAACAAAAAACAUAGUAUCAUCAAUGAUCUAAGGACUAUCUCAUAGAACUGCUCAAAUAAAAAGUGACAGUUUCAUCCCCUAUCCUAAGUUCAAGCUUUCCAUCACAAACAUCUAUAAUAGCCGUAGACGUUGCAAGGAAAUGUUGACCUAGAAUCAAAGUACAUUACUCUCACUAUCCAUGUCCAUGAUCACAAAAUCAAUAGAAAAUAUAAAUUUGUCAACCUUAACAAGUACAUCCUCUACAAUACUCCUAGGAUACUUAACAGUCCUAUCAGCUAGCUAUAUGCUCAUCCUAGUGGGUUUAGUCUCAUUAAGCCCCAACUUAGUAAAUAAACUAUACGGCAUUAAAUUAAUGAUAGCUCCUAAGUCAGCUAAAGUAUUGCUAAUUGUCAAAUCACCAAUCAUACAAGGGACAGUAAAACUCCCUAGAUCACAUUUCUUCUCUGGCAAUUUGUUUUGAAGUAUAGCCGUACACUUCUUGUUUAAGGUCACGAUCGCCAAGUCCUCCAACUUCCUCUUGUUGCUAAGAAUCUCCUUUAAGAACUUCGCAUACCUAGGCAUCUGCCAAAUAGCUUCAACAAAAGGCAAGUUAAAUCGCAGUUGUUUAAACAAGUCAAGAAACUUACCAAACUGCUGAUCGACUUUCUCCUGCUUUAACUUAGUAGGAUAUGGGAUCGGGGGCUGGUAUUCCCUCAAGGGACUUUUCUUCUUUCUCUCUACCUUCUCUAGCUCCAUCACCUUGCUAUCUCCAUCUUUUCUAUCUGAAUCUACCUACACAACAUCAUCAUCAUCAGGAAUAGGAAUAGAACUAGAUAGUUGCUUACCUGAUAACAAAGUGAUAGCCUUCACGUGCUCUCUCGGGUUAGACUCCGUAUUACUGGGUAAAGUCCCUAGCUGCCUCUUAGCCAACAUCUUAGAAAUACGACAUUGAUAUUUGCCAUAGCUAGAUUAGAUUCGAUAGGUGUACUUGCCCAUAGAUUUCUAGUCGUAUUAGCAAGCCAUCAUCUUUUUGCUAAAAAAACCACCUACAAUUGCAUCUACCAUUUGCUUAGUAGCCAAAUUCAAACCAUUAUAAAAAGUUUGUACCUGUAACCAGAUUGGUAGUCCAAUUACUAAAUGAAUUUCUCAAUCACAUAAAGUAAUCUAAAUACCACAAUUCACAACGUCUCAUGAUUAAAGUGAUUUCUCAUUAAUAAUGAAAGCAAGAAGAAAUAAACAUUGAUAAUCAAAAUCUCAUAAACAUUGAAAUUAAUCCAACAACAUAGGAACUCCAAUUGGGUUUGACAAUUUAGCUACUCAUACGAAUAAGCAACACAAAAUAAAGAAUAGAUUCAGAAAAGCAAAUUAAAGGCAUGUACACCCUUCUUCUUCAGGUUGGAUGAGAAACCCUAAAUUUGCAAUUUAGAAUAGUAAACCCUAAUUUGCUUCUUGAAUGUUCCCAAAUCUUGUCUUGAUCUUCAAUUUGAUGUUAAAACAGAUGUAAUCUUUCUUUCAAUUGAUGAAAUGAUCUUCUAAGGUCGAGAAUUAAAGUCUGGAAGCAGAUGGUUUAAGCUUGUAUAAUGGAAAUCAAGUCAGAAAAUCGAACCCUCAUUCAACAAAUCAUUUUUGCUUAUAUAAUCCCUUCAGCACGGCCGUGGUCAAGCCUAUGCUGAUCAGCACGGGCGGAGUCUAGGCCGUGCUGGACCUCUACGUUCCGCUUCUGUUGACUUCUUCCAGGCCAUGCCUUCGCUGGUGUUGAGCCACCACGAGCCGUGGUGGCUUCCGAAACCGUGCCAAAAUGGCACUCUUGGAGGGUUGCUACUUGAUAAUUCAGCAUGGCCAGAGUCUAGGCCGUGCUCAACCUCGGAAUGCUAGUCCUUGCUCAAUUUGAUGGAUUCUGGUCCGUAAUUGCGCGUAUUUCCCUCAAUUAUUGAUUAUGUCCCUUGAUAAUGAUCUGAAACGUAAAAGGAACCAAAAGACAGGUGAUUCUAGCAUAAAACGAGAUAACUAUGCAUAAAAAUAUAAACAAUUGGGCAUGUAAAUAUGUAUAAUAUGAUGCCUAUCAAAUUGCCCCACACUUAAGCUUUUGCUUGUCCUCAAGCAAUUAAUAACUCAAUACAUGCACAAGCAACAAUCACCCCCUCAAAAUCCAUGCUAAAGUUCACAACUCAACCUUAUUCAAUAUAUAAAGAAUGAAACUCAGUAACUAACAAGUUAUACACCUUUAAGGAAGAACUAUAAUAAUAUCAUCUCGAAACACAACUUACAUAACAAAUCAGCAUUAAAGACUAAGAACCAUUGCCUCACAGGGAUCUCUCAAAUUACUCACAGUGUUUACAGGUAAAUAAGAAAAUUCCCUCAAUGCAGCUGCAUAAAACCUAUUUACCAUAAGCUUGCUCAUAAAUCUUGUCUUCGCUACCGCGAAUAAUUGAAUACCAAAAUCAAAGGGUCUUUUCAAAGGUUGUAAUGAGGCUGAGGUAAAGGUAAGAAUAUUUGGAUAGAAGUGUGUAAAGUAUACUGAAAAAUUAUGUAAUUAAUUGAAAUGAAUGCUUCAGGAACUGAGUGCUAAACAAUAAAAAUAUUCACUAAGCCUUAUUUGAAGUAAAUGAUGCUCACAAGAGUUAAAUUCAGAAGAGCUAAAAGCUAAGAAAGCAAGUCAUAAUUUUUUUCUUUCUUUCUCUCUCUCUCUCUCUAUAUAUAUAUAUAUAUAUGUAUAUAUAUUUCUUUUUUUGAUAUGUACUAUGUAUUAUAUUACAACAGCUUAUAUAGGGGCUGCUAUGGUUAAUGACAUAAACAAUAAGAAUAAAUAUCCAAUUUGGAUUGAAGGGAGCAUCAAAGAAAUGACUGAAAAGACUAAGUGAAUUAAAAACAAUAUUAGGCACUAUAAUCCCAUAAAUGAGGAAACAUAACACAUAAUUACUCAGUAUACAGGGUAAAAGGAAAGACAGAUGCACAGAAUGGUGUAUGCAUAGUGAUUAGGUGUAAAUUAUGAAGAAAAUGUUAAGGCUCAAACUGGCCGACUAAUGGAAACAGAGGGUAGGCCUUUGGCCAGAUGUGGUGAAAUCCUAAGUUGCCCAAAUCAUCUAAUGGUAUUCAAAAAUUCAUGUAACCACAACAAGCAUUAUAGAGCAAGUUCUAGAAACGAAAGUAAGCACAACACACACUCAAACAAGAAAAGUCAUGAGCAUAAUAUGUAACGGAUACUCAAUUUUUAGUUCAAAAACUGACGUUUGAAGUGGCUAAAAUUUGCAACUGGUUCCCAGACUUAUCAAUUGAAUCAUCACAUAAAUUGAAUACGAGAUUGACAUAAUCAAAGUUCACAGUCAAAGGUUGUAAAUUCCCAAGGAACUCAAGUAACACUGGUUUAACCCGACCAAAUUGACAUAUUGAAUACAGUGAAAUUGCUUUCAAGAAGAGAAGAUAAAGAGGGACAAUCAAGUACUAGUGUAUGAAUUAAGUCAUUAAUUACGAAAGAAUAAACUAAACUUCAAUGUCAUGAAAACCCUAUGUCCUAACAUCCUAAGAAUAGUCCAUUAUCAUUGCCUUUAAACAAUUAAGGGAUACCCACCCCACACUUGAGUAUAACGCUGUCCACAGUGUUAGAAAAAUUAAAACUGGGUAUAGCACAUAACUAGCACAUCAUAAUCCUUGAAGAUCAUACUUAGUGUUCAUUUCAAAAUGGCAAAGCAAAGUGUUCUACUAAAAUAAAUUAACAUGAAAGGAAAAUGAAAGGAAAUAACAUUAAAUUAAACAUGCAAAAAGACAAGAAAAUAAAAUAAAGGAAGAAAAAUAAAAAGAAAAAUAGCAUAAAUUUUUGUUUCACUGCUGGUAGUCUGCCGAAGGCAUAUCCUCACUGGUUGGAUUUGUUGGAGGAUGAGGAGUAGGGGAAGUCAUUGAAGGAGGGGGCAGUGGUGGUGGCACAAGGUCCGUGAAGCAUCCUGCCAGAUUGAACUUCAUAUCAUCGAUGAACCGCUGAUUUUUUGCUCCAGUGUCCAUCAUAUUUUUAAUCUGCUCCGCUAUUAAGUCUGUUUGGGUGGCCUACCUCUCCAACCCUAUCAUAAGCUGCUGGAGCAUAUUGUUCAAAUAGCGAAACUGUGCCCUAGUCUCCUCUUGAUACUACCCAAACUCCUUUCUCUGAUGCGCAAACUCAGUAUAGUGUUGCUAUUGUACAUCACAGACUCGAUCUAGUCGGUCAGCCAAGGCACUAAUCUGAGCACUCGAUGUCCCUACAGAAUAAGAGGAUGAGGCUUUAGAUGUAGGCAUAAACACUCUAGCUGGGUUAGGAAUCCUAACAUCUGGAAUCCCAGCCGUCGGAUCUUGGGCUCCUCUAGCCACUGCCUCUCUAGCCUCCCUGACUAUUGUGUUCAUGAGCCUAUAUUAUAUACCAUGUGGAUGUCGAGUAGCCGUGAUCAUCUGCAUGUUGAUCAUCUGUCUGAUCCCUAGUAGUGUCAUGUCACCAAUCUGUGAAAGCUCUGACAAACAAUUGUCCAAUACAUCUAAUCUCUUGGCUAACCUAGUUACAUAUGGGCCAAAACAGUAGUGCAUCUUCUUCUGGGUGUUUACUAUAAAUGAAUGGGUUUGUCGAGCCAACAAAUAUCCCAAGUCAAGCUUCUUCCAAUGUUGCAUAGCCCAGAUGAUGAAGACAUCAGUCUGUAUUACCGCCCCAAAAUUAUCUCCCCUACCUGUAAUCGUGUAAGCUAAUAAGGUAUGGAGAUAGCGGAGAUGAUCCGGAAGGCUAGACGCCUUAGACCUGCUGGGGUAGUACGAUUCUGACUUAAGUACCAAUGAAUCCCACAUGGUGUUGUAUGAUAUUGGGUUGAUGUAGAGACAUCCCUGAUACUCCUGCUCAGUCCAUAAUCCCAAGUGCAUGCCGAAUUGUGGUACUGACAUUGAGAACUCCCUUCCCCCAAGUUUGAAGUAAACUGCAUUAGGCUGAUGCUAGUUUGUGAUCUGUUAUUGUAGGAAGAAGGUGCUGAGGAAUUCAAUCGUAGCUCACGGUAGGUUGGCUCAAUGAUGUCGAAGAAUCGCACAUAUGGCAGAGUUUCGAACAGAUUACGCACAUACUGAGCCAAUCCCACUCUUUCUAGGGAUACGAAGUUGAUGCAAUAACCCGCCAUCACUUACUUCCAUCUCAUAACUUGGAAUCAACUUUCAUUAUCUGCAUUAGGAAAUGUCUAUAAUGGAUGACGACCAGGUGCGGGUGGAUUCACAGCUGGUGCUCUUCGGGCUCGGACUAGUUGCUGUUGCGGUGGAAGUGCUGGUGCUGGUGUUGGUUCUGGUGCUGGUGAAGUGGAGGAAGAUGUUCCUUCACCAUGCGAGCGCUUGCUGGUAGCGGCACUUUGCGGUUACUUUCUACGUGAUUGAUCGUGAUCCCUCAUAUUACCUAAUGCAAUGAAUCAUUAGUUUUCAAACAAGAAAUCAAGUUAAUAAGAAAUUAUACCGAAAAUUAAACAAUAUAACAAGUAUAAUUUGAUUAACAGAAAACUUUAGACUUAACAAAAGACUAAAGCCUCAAUCUCCUGCAUAAACUAAUUAACCAAUACAUUCCAGCCUACUUUAUCAUGCACCAACUAAAGCAAAUUUAUGCCAACAAUUGUUCAUAAUAAAAUGCCAUAAAUAAACUUUAUUGCUGCCAAACCCCACACUUAUCAUUUUAUAGUAGAAUCCACAACAAAAAUAGCAACUAAUAUAAAUUAAAUCUAAUCGAGGUGAUAUGGAAACAAUGUAACAAAGCAAAACUACCAAAACAUACUAGCAUAUCCUAAAUAAAAUAAAUGCAUAAAAGAAAAAUUAAAUUAAAACAAAUAAAAGCAAAAAGCGAAGAGACUUACUUGAAUUUGCUGAGACAUGUAAGAAAAAUCAGAGAUAAGGAAGAAAACAACACCUUGGAGCUUAGAGGGGGAAAGGUAGGAAAAUUGUGAAAACUCCCCUUUUAUAGUCACGGGGGUCAACACGGGCGAGGGCGAGGCCGUGCUAGUCAGCAGGUCAGGACUCAGCCCGUUCUGAACCCUAAAGCUGCAUUAUGGCGCCCAUCCGUCAUAGGUGAGGGCACGGCCUAGUGUUGCUGCCCGUGGUGCCUUUGGAAAAUGUGGUGACGGCUGAAUUUUCCUUUGUGCUUUACUUGUAUCUUCAUCACGAGAGUGGGCACGGGCAUGGUGACCGGCAUGGCCUGGUGAUGUAACCUGUGAUGCCUUCAGAAGGCGUGGUGAACAGCUGAAUUCCCAAAUUCUACAUGUGUUUCCUCAUCACGGGCUUGACUCCGGCCGUGCUGAUGAGGACGACCCGGUGUUGUAGCCCGUGAUGGCCACGAAAACCAUGGUGGAAAGGGUUGAUCCGAACUUUCCUUCACCAUCUCGAGUUGCCGAACUCCCUACCUGCAUUCGACACAUAUACGCACACAUUUAGGUUAUGAAUUAAGUAAAUAAAUCAAACGGGAAAGUCCCACUUCAUCGAUUACCAAAAAUCUGACAUAAGUUAUUCCAACCCUAAGUUCAUACAACUAUGUUUAAUAUAUAAAGUAAGUGUUCUAAAGAUCAACAAGCAUGCAACGAAUGAUAACAUAAAAGUGGACCGAAGAAAAGAACAUAAAACUAGAAUGGGAAUGCCUCCCAAGGGCGCUUCUUUUUUAUUCUUGAGUCAUUUAGCUGGACUCAAUAUGAAUCAUUAUUGCAGGUACAGAAUCAUGUUAACCCGCUGCUCAGUCUCCAACGAGUUUUUGUGAUACACCUUGAGCCUAUGUCCAUUGACCUUGAAAUCACCCUUCUCGGGAUGAUGAAGCUCGACUGUUCCAUAUGGGAAAACUUGCUUAACCACGAAGGACCCCGACCAUCGACUCCUGAGCUUCCCUAGGAACAACUGAAGACGUGAGUUAUAUAGCAAUACUCUAUCUCCACUCUGAAACUCCUUAGGACCUUUGAGCCUCUGAUCGUGCCACUUCUUUGUCUUUGCCUUGUAAAUUGAAGAGUUUUCAUACGCUUGUUGACUCCAUUCCUCCAAUUCACCCAGUUGCCACUAUCUUUCCUUACCUGCAGAAUCAACAUCAAAAUUGCAGGUUUUAAGGGCCCAAAGAGCCCUGUGUUCUAAUUCGACAAGUAAAUGACAAGACUUCCCAAAAAUCAGCUUAUAGGGUGUAAAACCUAUGGAGGCCCUAUAUGCAGUUCUAAAUGCCCAUAAUGCAUCAUCUAAUUUCGAGUCCCAAUCCUUCCGACUUACACCCACAGUUCUCUUUAAGAUACGUUCUAAACCCCUAUUAGUAACCUCAACUUGCCCAUUGGUUUAUGGGUGAUAGGGAGUGGAGAACCGCUGAGUUACACUAUAGCGCCUGAGUGCCUUCUCCAAUUAAGUGUUGUAGAAAUGUGUUCCCCUGUCAAUAAUUAGUGCUCUAGGUGUGCCGAACCUAGCAAAUAACCUUUUAAGGAACCUGCAAAAAACUCUAGCAUCGUCAGUAGGUAAAGGCCUGUGCCUUCGGCCAUUUGGAGAAAUACUCAACAGCCAUGAGGAUAUACUUAUUACCAUUUGAGGAACGGAGGGGUCCCAUGAAGUCAAUACCCCAAUAUCAAAUAUAUCCACGGUCAACAUACUGUUUUGGGGAAUUUCAUCACGGGCAGAGAUAUUAACUAAGCGCUGACAAGCGUCACAAACCUGAACAAAGGUUCUAACAUCCUAGAAGAUAGUUGGCCAAUAAAAGCCUGCAUCCAACACCUUCCUAGCAGUAUGGUUCGCCGCUUGAUGGCCUCCUACAGGUCCUUCAUGAUAGUGCCUCAAGAUUUGGAGACUCUCUUUGUCAUAAACACAUCGGCGGAUGACCUGGUUUGCACACACUCGAUAUAGGAAGGGGUCUUCCCAAAUGUAGUAUUUCAAAUCAGUAAAGAAUUUCUUCUUUUGCUGAUAAGUCAUACCCUUUGGUAAGACCCUAGCCACAAGAUAGUUAGCAUAAUCAGAAAACCAAGGAGAAUCGAAAUAUACCUUUAAUUAAUACAAGUGCUCCUUUGGAAAUCGAUCAUUUAUCAUGCUCUCAUCAAGUGCUUCCAAGCUCAGAUUCUCCAGUCUGGAUAGGUGAUCUAUUGCUAGAUUUUCUACGCCCUUCUUAUCUCUAAUCUCAAUGUCGAACUCCUGCAACAAUAAAAUCCAUCUGAUCAGUCUUGCCUUAGCAUCAUGCUUAUUAAACAAAUACCUCAAAGCUGAAUGGUUAGUGAAGACCAGUCUUUGAUAAAAUGAGGUAUGAUUGAAAUUUGUCGAAAGCAUAAACGACAGCCAACAACUCCUUCUCUGUAGUAGUGUAAUGUUCCUAGGCUCCUGUUAACGUCUUGCUAGCAUAAUAAAUGGGUUGGAACUUUUUAUCAAACCUCUGUCCAAGCAGAGCUCUAACUGCAUAGUUACUAGCAUCGCACAUUAGUUCAAAGGGCAGCCCCCAAUCAGGCGAAGCUAUGAUAGGGCUGUGGUCAAAAGUUUCUUUAAUAACUCAAAAGAAGAAACACAUGCAUCAUAAAAAAUGAAAGGUGCAUCCUUAACUAGUAAUUGAGUAAGAGGCCUAGCAAUUUCAGAGAAAUUUCUAAUAAAUCUUCUAUAGAACUAAGCAUGACCUAAGAAACUCCUAACAGCCCUAACAGAGCUAGGAGGUGGUAGCUUAGAUAUUGUUUCUAUUUUGGCUCUAUCAACUUCCAUUCCUGCAUGUGAAAUUUUAUGCCCUAGAACGAUUCCCUCUAUCACCAUAAAAUGACACUUUUCCCAAUUUAGCACCAAGUUAGCCUCAAUGCACAUAGCUAACUUGCGUUCUAGAUUCGCCAAACAGUGAGAGAAUGAAUUACCAAAAAUAGAGAAGUCAUCCAUAAAUACCUCCAUCGACUCCUCAAUCGUAUCAUCAAAGAUGGCCAUCAUACACCACUAAAAUGUAGCCGGCACAUUGCAUAUGCCAAAAGGCAUCCGUCUAUAAGCAAAUGUCCCAUAGAGGCAGGUAAAAGUUGUCUUCUCUUGGUCUUCAGGUGCAAUUAGGAUCUGAAAAUAUCCUGAAAAACUAUCAAGGAAACAAUAAAACAUAUGUCCAACCAAUCUUUCUAACAUCUGAUCAAUGAAAGGAAGAGGGAAGUGAUCCUUCCGAGUUGCAUUAUUAAGCCUCCUAUAAUCAAUCCAUCCGUGUAGGUAUCAGCUCAUCCUGCUCAUUUCGAAUUACUGUCAUGCCUCCUUUCUUCAGUACAACCUGCACAGGGCUCACCCAAGAACUGUCAGAAAUAGGGUAAAGUAAUCCUGCAUCUAGGAGCUUAAUUGCCUCCUUUUUCACUACUUCCUUUAUGUUCGGGUUAAGUCACCUAUGUGGCUGAACUACUGUUCUAUAGCUAUCCUCCAUAAGAAUCUUAUGAGAACAGAAACUAAGGUUGAUCCCGGUAAUAUCAGUGAUCUUGUAGGCGAAGGCCUUCUUAUAUCUCUUGAGAGUUUUUGCUCACUCCUGAGGUGUUAAAUCUGCUACAAUAAUCACCGGUAACUUUUCUUCCUCAUCUAAGAAUCCAUAGCUUAAGUGCUUAGGCAACUCCUUCAAUUCUAAGGUCGGGGGAUCCUCAAAAGAAGACUUCACUUUCCGCACUUCUGACCUGUCAUGAGAAAGAAAAGGAUUAGUAGAACAGCUAGGCUCAGUAGCCAACAAAUUAGUGAGCUGCUCCAACACUUACUCGUUGGACAGCUCCUCCUCAUCUCCUUGCAAGGCUACCUACAAAGGAUCAUCAAGUAACAUUUUCUGUAAAUGAGACUCAACCAAAUCAUCCAAAAUAUCAAUAGAAAAUACAGCAUCAUCAUGGUCUAAAGAGUGUCUCAUAGUAGUAGCUAGGUCGAAGGUAAUGGUCUCAUCGUCUACCCUAAGUUUAAGCUUUCCAUCAUAAACAUCUAUUACAGCCCUAGAUGUUGCAAGAAAGGGCCUACCUAGGAUCAAAGGCACAGUACUCUCACCUUCCAUAUCUAUAACUACAAAAUCCAUAGGAAAAAUAAACUUGUCUACCUUAACAAGCACAUCUUCAACAAUUGCCCUAAGAAUCUUUACAGUCCUAUUAGCUAACUGAAUGCUCAUCCUAGUGGGCUUAGGUUCAUUCAAACCUAAUUUAUCAAAUAAACUAGUGGGCAUUAAAUUUAUACUAGCUCCUAAAUCAACUAAUGCACCACUAAUAGGCAAAUUGCCAAUGACAUGAUGAACAGUAAAUCUCCCUGGAUCUCUUCUUUUGAGUGGUAACUUGUUCUGAAGAAUAGCCGAACACUCCUCGUUCAGAGUCACUAGUCCCAAAUCCUCCAACUUCCUUUUGUUACUCAGAAUUUCCUUUAAGAACUUUGCAUACAUAGCUUCAAUAAAAGGCAGGUUAAUCUGUAGUUGUUUAAACAAGUCAAGAAACUUACCAAACUGCUUAUCAACCUUCUCCUGCUUAAGUUGAGCAGGGUAGGGGACUGGUGGCUGGUACUCUCUCACAGGGCUCCUCUGCGUGUCUUCCACCUUUCUCUCCUCCCAUUGUCUCAGGCUCAAGCUCCUGCCUAGCUGGCUUAUCCUGCAUACAAACAUCCUCAUCAUCAGCUAAAGGUAAAGAGCUAGACAAUUGCUUACCUGAUCGCAAGGUGACAGCCUUGCAAUGCUCCCUAGGGUUUGACUCUGUUGUGCUGGGGAGCAAUCCUUAUGGCCUUUCAGACAGCAUUUUAGAAUCUACCCAAUUUGACUCUCUAAAUUCUAGAUGGAUGCCUGCUGAUUUCUAAGAGCACUGUCUGUUUGCUGGAAUCUUGUCUCUGUCGACGUGACAAACUUCAUCAUCAGCUCCUCCAAGUUAGGUUUCUUUUCGGCUGGUAGAGGGGGCUGUGAUGGUAUAGCCUACUGCUGCUGUUGUGGUGGCUGCUGAUGCAGUCUCUAAAAGUCUGAUGGACCCUGGGCGUUGUUGUUUCUCUACCCGAAAUUUGGAUGAUUACGCCAGUCGAUGAUGUAUGUGUUGAUGUAUGGGUUGUUCUGCUGUCUAGGGGCAUUACCCAUGUAGUCUAACUGUUCAAUGUCAGCAAAAACAAUAGAAGAAGCAUUAUUACUCGAAGCAAACAUACCUCCCGCAUUACAAUUUGUACCGUAGUGCGGGCCACCAUAAAAUUCACAGCUUAUCUGGGCUGCAUGAACCAACAUCUGAAGCUGGUCUAACUUCUUAGUUAAAAGCUCCACUUGAGCUGCCAAGGCUGCUAUGGAGUCUAGUUGAUUGACCACUCCCUACCUCACUGGUUGGCUCCUUGAAGAUUGCCACUAGUAAUUGUUCAUGGCCAUCUCCUCUAUUAAGUUUUGAGCCUGCUCGGGUGUCUUACUGUUCAGCGCCCCUCUUGCUGCUGCAUCAACCAUUUGUCGAGUAGCAAGGUUCAAACCGCUGUAAAAGGUUUGAACCUGCAUACAUACUAGUAGACCGUGGUAUGGACAACAUCUCAACAAGUCCUUGUACCUCUCCCAGGCAUCAUACAUGCUCUCGUCUUCCAUCUGCACAAAAGAAGAAAUGUCAUUCCUUAAUUUAGCAGUCUUAGUUGGAGGAAAGUACUUGUAAAGAAAUUUCUCAGCUAAUGAUCUCCAUGUCGUGAUAGUGUUGGCUGGGAGCGACUGCAGCCAUCUUUUUGCUCAGUCCCUCAGAGAGAAAGGAAACAGGCUCAACCGAAUGGCAUCAUCAGUUGUUCCAUUUAUCUUGAAGGUGUCGCAAAUUUCCAAGAAGUUGGCGAUGUGAGCGCUUGGGUCCUUGCUCAGCAGUCCCUCAAAUUGUACACUAUUUUGCACCAUUUGUAUCACAUUUGGCUUUAUUUUGAAAUUGUUGGCUGCCACAGGUGGUCACAAUAUACUCAUUUAUGUCCCUACAAGAGAAGGUCUAGCAAACUCAUACAUAGUUCUGGCUUCAUCCGCAACUAGAUUGUUGUCCCCCAUCUCUGCUGGUCAAUUCACAGAAGCUUCAAACUCUAUCUGCACCUCUUCUUCUUCUUGCAUAUGCUUCCUCAACAAAUGGAGGGAUCGCUCUGGUUCAGCAAAAGGGUCUAUAGUAGUAUGAUUCAAGCUUCUGGUUAUAAACUACCUGAAAUGGAUACACAACAACCAAAAAAUACAAGAAUAAAUAAUACUAAAGGAUAAAAACAAAUUGAAAAUACAAAGAAAAUAGAAAUGGCUAGAUUAACAAAGAAAAACAUAAAUUCAAUCUAGUUCACACAAAAAUGUUUGUCCCCAGCAACGGCACCAAAAACUUGAUAGGCUUUUUAUGUAGCUACAAUCUAAGGCAGUGAACCUAUCGAUGUAGACUAGCAUAAAUGGUGAGUAUCAAGGUCGUAUUCUCGGGAAAGGGUGAUCCUAGACCUACUGUAGCAUCUUAUGUUAUCUAACUUAAACAAAUCAAUGAAGUGUUAUGCUAUGAUUAAAUAUGAACAAACAAUUAAUUAAAUAUCAAAUAAUCUGAAAGGAUUUAGAAAAACUCUUGAAGGAAAAAGCAAACCCUAGGGGACUUAAGUUAAUUAGAUUUUAGUGAAGAUAAAGAUUAAAUUAAUUAUCAAUUGUAAUUACCCGUGGACGAAAUCUUAACUGAAUUCGAUCUCCUUCUCGAGGUAACCGAAUUCCUAAACCUAAUAACCUAAAGUUGGAAUCUCUUCCUAACCAUCGAUUAUUCGAUUAGCAUUAAGGUUUAACCCGCCUCUAUUAAGCUUUGUUAAUUCUUAAUCCGGCUAGUCAAUUACCCUUAUAUCUAAGUGAUUAUUAACCAAUUCUUGCUAUUCAAAUUUCCAAUUACUAAAUGAAUUUCUCAAUCACAUAAAGCAAUCUAAAUACCACAAUUCACAAUGUCUCAUGAUUAAAGUGAUUUCUUAUUAAUAAUGAAAGCAAGAAGAAACAAACAUUGAUAAUCAAAAUCUCAUAAAUAUUGAAAUUAAUCCAACAACAUAGGAACCCCAAUUGGGUUUGACAAUUUAGCUACUCAUACUAAUAAGCAACACAAAAUAAAAAAUAGAUUCAGAAAGUAAUUUAAAGGCAUGUACACCCUUCUUCUUGGAUGAGAAACCCUAAAUUCCCAAUUUAGAAUAGUAAACCCUAAUUUACUUCUUAAGUGUUCCCAAAUCUUGUCUUGAUCUUCAAUUUGAUGUUAAAACAUAUAUAAUCCUUCCUUCAAUUGAUGAAAUGAUCUUCUAAGGUCGAGAAUUGAAGUCUAGAAGCAGAUGGUUUAAGCUUGUAUAAUGGAAAUCAAGUCAAAAAAUCGAACCCUAAUUCAGCAAAUCGUUUUUGGCCAUAUAAUCCCUUUAGCACAGCCGUGGUCAAGCUUGUGCUGAUCAGCACAGGCGUAGUCCAAGCUAUGAUGGACCUCUGCGUUCUGCUUCUGUUAACUUCUUCCAGGCCGUGCCCUCGCCGAUGUUGAGCCACCAAGGGCCGUGGUGGAGGCUGUGGUGGCUUCGGAAACUGUGCCAAAAUGGCACUCUUGGAGGGCAGCUACUUGAUAAUUUAGCACGGCCAGAGUCCAGGAUGUGCUCAACCUUGGAAUGCUAGUCCUUGUUUAAUUUGAUGGAUUUUGGUCUGUAAUUGCACGUAUUUCCCUCGAUUAUUGAUAAUUUCCCUCGAUAAUAACCUGAAACAUGAAAGGAACCAAAAGACAGGUGAUUCUAGCAUAAAAUAAGAUAACUAUGCACAAACAUGUAAACAAUUAGGCAUGUAAAUAAUGUAUAAUAUGAUGCCUAUCAAAGGUAUCACAAAUUUCUAAAAAACUCGCUAUAUGCGCGUUAGGAUCCUAAUCUGGCAAGCCUCCAAACUGAACCAUUUGUUGCACCAUCUGAAUCACAUUAGGCUUUAUUUCAAAAUUAUUAGCGGCGAUAGCCGGUCUCAUAAUGCAUGUUUGCGUCCCCUCUAGCGAUGGUUUUGCAAAAUCAUACAUCAUCUAGUUAUUCUCAUUGUUGUCGUUGGUGUCUGCCAUCUCUACUAUAGUGUCUUCCGGUUCACUCUCGUCUACGGCUUUCCAAACCUAAAUUUCUUUCUCCUCUACAUUCAACCGUUUCCUCAACUGCUUGAGUGAUCGCUCUGAUUCUGGUAGAGGGUCUACUAGAUCAGGAUUGGACCUGCUAGUCAUACACUACCUGAAACAACAAAUAACCAAAUGAAUAAAAGAAUAAAAUCAAAUAAAAAAAUAAAGAGAAAGAAUAAAUGGCUAAAUGAACAAGAAAGCACAGUUCAUAAUAUUUCUCAAAACAAUUCCCCGACAACAGCGCCAAAAACUUGAUGUUGGCUAAACACGACUAACAAUCUACAGGCAAGUGCACCUAUCAAAUGUAAUCUAGCUAUGGCAAGUAUCAAUGUCGUAUCCCAUGGGAACUGAGAAGUUAUUGCUACUAUUUAAUUCCUAUUAUCUAAUCGAUCAAAAGGUGGUGAAGAUCAUUAACUAAAAAUGAUUAAGAAUACAAAUGAAAACUAAAUUUUAACAAAGAGAAUGAAAGUUUGAAAAAGACAAUGAGAUGAGUUAAUCUAAUUGGGGAUCCUAUUAGCUAGCCGGCUUAAAAACAAUAAUUUAUGAAUUGAUUCAUUAAGAAUUGCGAUAUGUGGAUAAUUUCUUAAAUGAAUUGGCCUCUCUCUCGAGUUAACCAAUUCUUAAUCCUAAAGAUUUAAAGUUGGAAUCUCUUCCUUACAAUUGGUCUUAGAAUAACAUUAAUCUCUAAAUUACCGCUGAUAAGAAUAUCUAGUUCUUUUUCCAAUAAGUAAUUACAUUUAUCUCUAAGAUGCAAAUCACUUAAUCACACAAGUAGUUGUUCAAACUCAAUUGAAUUUCUCAAUUACAAAGGAGUUCUCAAAUUGAUUCAACAAUGAAGAAGAAAUAAUAGAUUUUAUUACACUUGAAUGAAAACUACAAUCUUAAAUGAACAAUUCAAUCAAUUAAGCAUAGAACAAACCUAGCAUAGCUAAAGAUCACCCCUAAAUUGGUUUAAUAAGAUUAGCUACGCAUGUUUAUGAUUAAACUAAUACAAGAAUCAAAUACAAAGUUAACAAGAAUAAAAAAGAACAUGUACACCAUUUUCUCAAAUGGUGAAAAUGCUAUCCCUUCUUGAAUAAUUAUGAAUCCAAUCUCUGCAGCUCAAGAUCUCCUUCUUCUUUCCUUUGAAUCUUCAAUCCAAUCCUCAAGAACAGCUAAUUGGAUGAUAUUGAAGUAGAAUUCAUCUCCGUUUUCCUCUUCUUGAUCGUUUGGAAGGUUUCUCUCAAAGUCUAUCUUGAAAACUCCAAAGUUCUUUCUUUCCAAAUUCCCUCUUUGUUUCUUUUUCCUUUCUUUUAAAUCAGGGUUCGGAUCCAACACGGCUUGGAUUUGGGCCGUGCUAACCAGUAUGGCCUGGAUCCAUGCCUUGGUGGGCUAAAUUAUAUAUAUGUCCUUCUUUCAGCAUGGCUUGGAUUUAGGCUGUGCUGCUUAGCACGGGCAUGCUCUUAGGCCGUGUUACUAUCGGGAACCAUAUUGCCAAUUAUUUUUUCUCGCCAUGGGUAAGAAAUUUCAGCAUAUGCCCUCUGACCCUAACCGUGCUUCUCAGCACAGGCGUGUUGGCAGGAAGUGUUCAACAGUCUAACGCGCCUGAUUCGUCUAUUUUUUCUCAAUUUUGGUCUGAUUUCUCUCUAACUUUGAUGAUGUCCCUCGAAAAAUACCUGAGACAUAAAGGAAACUAAAACCGAGUGAUUCUAAUACAAAAGCAUAUAAUUUUUCCUAAAAAUAACUCAAAAUCAAGCAUGCAAACAUGUGUAAUAUCAAGGACAAAUCACCCCACACUUAAGCUUUUCCUUGUCCUCAAGCAAUCAACAAUUUAGAUUAUAAACAUGCAAUCAACCCUCCUUAAAAUUUAUGCAUUGGAUUACAAUUAAGCAACAUUAAUCUAUCCCAAAUUGAAACUCAACCAAAAACUAAACUAGCAAUCUAAAUAAGAGCAAUUAUCAUGUUAGUGUAUAGAAAUUAAAUAAUACAUUUAACAUCAAAUAUUCAAGAAACCAUAUGCCUUACAAGGGAUCGCUUUAUGCAUUCAGUGUCUAAAAGAUAGUCAUCAAUCCCUUAAAGCAAUUAUAUUUAACUUCCUUACCAUAAGCUUGCUCAUAAUUCCCAUCUCCACUACUACAAACAAUCAAAUAUCACAAUCGAAUAGUCUUCACAAGGGUUUUAAUGGGGCUUAGGUUUAGGAAUGGAAAUUUGGAAGUGAGAUGUAAUAAUUUCUAGACUUUUGUAAUACCUUACCCAUAAUUUCAGCUCAAAAAGGACUAAAUGCCAAAAAAAUUAUAAUUAAAUUAACUAUAGUUCCCAAGUCUCUAGAACAAGAUGCUCAAAAAGUAAAAAAUGAAUGAAUACUCAAUAAAGAAUUGUUUUUUAAAGAAGAAACAAUAGAACAUAAUUACUUUGGAUUGAAGGAAGCAUCUAAACCAACUUUUUAAAGGACUUAGUGAAUUCAAAGUACAAAUAAAAUCAGUAUUUUAUCCAACAACUCAAUGAACACAUUGCAAAAAUUCUAGAAAUAGGGUAGUGAUCAACAAACGAAAGGCUUAACAAAGUCUAAUGAUAAAGCAAAAUGGUAAAAAUGAAGAAAGUAGAUAGGCUCAAACUUGGCUAACUGAUGUGAAAAAGGAAUAGGACCGUUUUGGAAUGAGUUUGAGUAUUUUGAAUUGUAGGGAACAAAUUAAAGAACAAGGAUUUCAUAAAGUAAGAGGAAAAGGGCGUGUAAACACAAAGUAAAACACUCAGAAUAAUUUCAUAAAGAAAUCAGAUUUUGUUUUCAACUCUCAAUGCCUAUAACACUUGGCCAUGAAUUCUAUUUAUACUCAACCACUAGAAGAGUUACAUGACAUAGAUGAACUCUUCAACUUCCUCCUAAAAACUUACCAGCCACAAGGAUUAACAUUCCCUUGUAACAUCCUUAAUUAAACAACAAAUAAAAGUGCUAAAUAAAGAGAAUCUUUGUAACAGCUAUUAAAGGCUGAUUACAAAGGUUUUAUUACACACUUAAAACUGAAAUGCCAAUAACAAAUUAAAUAAGGAAUAACUCCAAAAACGUCCACCUUUAUGAACAGCAAAAACUGAACAUAAUGAGCAGCAAAUAUUCCCCUUUUCAAGCCUUUAUUCAACCAUCCAAUUAAGGCAAGUGAUAAAGGUUUGUUUUGAUGAGAAUCCCAUGAAAUAUUCUGAUAUUUGCUUAGCAUUUUCAUGCACUAGCAAGGCAUGGACCGUAGCAUUAUUAUCUUGCACUUGAGCUGUGUGAUGGACCUCUUGUUGGACUAAUUCCAUAUCAUUCUCCCCCUCUUUGAAAAAGUUUAUCCUCAAACUUUCAUUAUCAAGGUAUGGAGUUAAAUCCCCCACAUUGAAAGUUGCACUUACACCACCAUACUCACUUGGAAGUUCAAGUUUGUAAGCACUUUCUCCAAUCUUUUCUAACACACAAAAUGGACCAUCUGACCUAGGCAUGAGUUUGUUUUUCCUAAGAUUAGGAAAACGUUCCUUCCUCUGUAACCACACUAGAUCACCCUUAGCAAAGGUAGGCUGUUUUCUUCUCUUGUUAGGUCUUGCCUUGUAAACUACAUUCAUUGCUCCAAUUUUCUCCUUAACUUGAGUACAUGUUUUCUGAAAUGUUUCCCAUCUUUUCUUUGAAUCAACAUGGACUAAGUCCUUUCUUGGCAAUGGAAUAAGUUCAACAGGAAGAAGAGGAUUAACCCCAUAGACCACCUCAAAAAGAGCACGACUUGUAAUUGAAGAAGGUGAUCUAUUAUAGGCAAAUUCAGCAUGUACCAACUUGAUAUCCCAAUCUUUUUGUGUUUUACUCACAAGUCCACGCAACAAAGAUCUAAGUGUUCUAUUAGUCACUUCUGUUUGGCCAUCAGUUUGAGGAUGAUUAGAAGUACUAAAAAGAAGCUUAGUACCUACCAACUUCCAUAAAAUUCUCCAAAAGUGACUUAGGAAUUUAGAAUCCCUAUCUGAAACAAUUGAUCUUGGAACACCAUGCAAACGAAUGAUCUCACGAAAAUACAAGUCAGCAAUUUUGGAUGCAUCAUCCAUCUUAUGGCACGCAACAAAGUGAGCCAUCUUUGAAAAUCGAUCAACCACCACCAUGAUGCUAUCCUUUCCCUUUCGAGUCUUUGGAAGCCCCACAAUAAAGUCCAUACUUACACUUUCCCAAGGGGCAUCAGGGACGGAUAAGGGAUGGUAGAGACCUUUAUGGAAGGUACUCUUGGACUUUUGACAAGUAGAACAUCUCUCCACCACAUGAGUCACGUCUUUUAUCAUGUGUGGCCAAUAAAAGUGUUCAUUGAGUAUGUCCAUGGUCUUGUGAACACCAAAGUGACCAGCAAUUCCACCUCCAUGGACUUCCCUAAUCAAAAGCUCACAAACACCACACUUAGGGACACAAAGUUUGUUCCCUUUAAAUAAGAAACCAUCUUGAACUAUGAACUCCUGAGUAGGCUUUUGAAAUACAGUAGCAAAGUGUUCAUCAUUCUCAUAUAGACCUUUUAAAUGUUCAAAGCCUAGAACUUGAGUAUGGACAGUAUCAAGUAGGUAACGUCUCCUUGGGAGAGCAUCCGCAACAACAUUGUUCCUUCCCUCCUUAUACUUCGAAUGGAAAUUGAAAGAUUGCAAGAACUCUACCCACUUGGCAUGUCGAUGAUUCAGCUUUUUUUGGCCAUGUAUGUACUUCAAGGCCUCAUGAUUCGAAUGAAGAACAAAAGGUCUUGGCCUUAGAUAGUGAGACCAAUGUUCUAAAGCUCUAACAAUCGUAUAGAACUCACUAUCAUAGUUGGAAUAAUUUAGCUUGGCUCCACUUAGUUUCUCAUUAAAGUAGCAAACUGGAUGCUUCUCUUGAAUAAGGACAGCUCCAAUACCUACGCCGCUUGCAUCACAUUCCACUUCAAAAAGCUUGACAAAAUUUGGAAGAGCAAGGAUGGGUGUAUUGCAUAAUUUUGUUUUGACUUCUUCAAAGGAUUUUUGGGCCGCUUCACUCCAUUUGAACUCUCAUUUCUUCAUUAACUCCGUCAUCGGGGCUGUAAUUAUUGAGAAGUUCUUGAUGAAGAUUCUAUAGAAAGAAGCCAGGCCAUGAAAGCUCCUAACUUCAUGAACAUCCCUUGGAACUAACCAUGUGGAAAUGGCCUUCACUUUCUCCGGAUCAACCUGUAUCCCUUCACUAGAAACAAUGUAUCCUAGGAAAGAAAUACUAUUACACAUGAAAAUACAUUUUUCCAUUUUUCCAUACAACUUGUGAGUUCUCAAUUUUUCAAAUAAAUCUCUCAAAUGCAACAUAUGCUCACUUUUAGAUUUGUUAUAUACUAAAAUAUCGUCUAAGUAUACAACAAUGAACUUAUUGAGAAAAGGUCGAAGUACCUCAUUCAUAAGUCUCAUGAACGAACUAGGGGCAUUGCAAAGUCCAAAUGGCAUGACAAGCCACUCAUACAACCCUUGUUUCAUUUUGAAAGCUGUCUUCCAUUCAUCACCUUCUCGAAUUCUCAAUUGAUGGUAGCCACUCCUCAAAUCAAUCUUGCUGAAAAUUUUGGCACCACUAAAUUCAUCAAGCAUAUCUUGGAGCCUAGGCAUAGGAAACCGAUAUUUGAUAGUUAUGUUGUUGAUUGCACGACUAUCAAUACAAAUUCUCCAUGUUCCUUUUUUCUUAGGCACUAAAAGAGCCGGAACAGCACAUGGACUAAGGCUCUCACGCACAUAACCUUUCUCCAUUAGUUCUUCCACUUGCCUUUGCAACUCUUUAGCUUGCUCGGGAUUGCACCUAUAGGCUGCUUUGUUAGGCAAUGGGGCUCCCGGGAUUAAGUCAAUUUCAUGCUCAAUCCCAUGAAAAGGUGGCAGUCCUUUCGGUCAAUCACUAAGAAAUACAUCAGAAAAUUCUUCAAGCAAAUGACUCAAAGACAAAGAGUUAGUGGCAUAGGAACAACAUUAGAAAUGGGUUUAAUAAUAAGUACAAACCCUUCUCCCUCCAUUGCACACUCUUUUUCAAACUCUUUCCUCGAAAUCAGAAAAUUAGGCCUUCUUUCCACCAUAGGUUCAACCUUAGGAGGCAAAGGUAACAACCUAAUCUUCUUUCCACCUGUGGUAGUAACCGUAUAUACAUUAGAAACACCAUCAUGUACAACAUUUCUAUCAAAUUGUCAUGGUCUACCAAGCAAAAUAUGACAUGCACUCAUAGGCAAUACAUCACACCAACGUUCAUCAUGAUAAUUGCCAAUUGCAAAUGAAACUAGAGCUUGUUUCUUGACUUUCAAAGCAAUUUCAUUAUUCAACCAAUUCAAUUUGUAAGGCCUAGCAUGAUUCGAAGAGGAAGCUUAAGCUUAAUUACAAGUUCUGUGGAUGCCACAUCCGUGCAUGAUCCUUCAUCAACAAUCACAUCACGUCUUAUCAAGAACCUUGCACCUUGUAUGGAAAAGGUUCUCUCGUUGUUGCAUGUCUUUGAGAGGUUCAGAAUGUAAGACUCUCCUAACAACUCCACAAAGAGGGUUGUCAUUUUCCUUCGCAUCAUACUCCUCAAUAUCUUCAUCGUUACUUUCAGAUUCAUAGCCGUAAGAAUCCUUCUCACAUAGGUGAAUUGUGAGAAUAUUCCUUUUUGGGCAUUCACUAGCAAUAUGCCCACGUUCUUGGCACUUAUAACAAGUCCUCUUGAAUCCUUCUUGCUUAAAACUAGAUUUUCCACCUUGAAACUUUGAAGGAUUAGUAGAAGAAAGUUGUUUAGAAGAGCUAGAAGAAGACUCACUCUUCCCAAAAGGUAUAUAUGGUUUAUAUGGAGUCUUGACGCUACUUGUGUUCGCCUUAGGCUUCUCCUGUUUCACUUGUGCUUCCACCUUCCUAGCUACUGUCACAACUUCAUCAAAAGUAGAAAAGCAUAUAGAUCUACCUCGUGAGAGAUGGAUUUGGACAGCCCUUUAGUGAAACGAGCAAUCUUGAGGGGCUCCUUCUCUUGCAAGUCACACAUCAAGCCUAGCCUCUCAAAUUCAUGAACAUACUCAUCAACACUGAGAUCACCUUGAGUUAGUCAAGUUAGCUUGACAUAUUGAUCUUGCUCAUACUCACGUGGUACCCAACGCCUCUCCAUUUUCUUCUUGAGUUUUUCCCAUGACUCGAUCUUCUUUUUCUCUUCUCUUCGUCUAUUAGCUUUUAGAUUGUCAUACCAAAGCCCAGCAAGCUUUGUUAAUCUAAGGACAACCACCUUACACCUCCUCCUAUCAUCAAAGUCUUCAUAAUCAAAGACACUUUCCAUUCUUCGAACCCAAUCUAAGAAGUUUUCCAGAUCACUUGAGCCAUCAAAUUCAGAAAGUUCCAAUUUGAAACUCCUAUCUUCUUCUUGAAAGUUUCGAUAGGUAGGAUUCCCACCGGAACUUGCUGUGUUCUCCAAGUCUCCAACACGUUCUUCCAUCUUUAAGGAUAGUUCCGUAAUGGCAUCCAUCCUAGCUUCAUGUUUCCUCAAGUCUCCUUGUAGCUCACGAAGUUGCUUCAUGAUAGCAGCCAACAUUUUAGAAUUGGACUGAUUUGUUUCCAUUACAACAGCGUGCAAUUUUAAUCAACCAAGAAAAAUAUCAAACGGACUUCAAAAAUUUUGUAACUUUACAGUCACAAAACUCUCAAAGAGAAAAAAAAUUUAGACUCAAGAAACACUAAAAAAUCUUCAGGAACAAGGGAGAUACGAAUCAAAACUUUCAGACCUGUUUUCAGCAACGUAAUCUGUUUUUUUUUUGUACGAAACUUACACUCUCCAAAGCCUAAGCUCUGAUACCAAUUGAUGUGAAAAAGGAAUAGGACCAUUUUGGAAUGAGUUUAAGUAUAUUGAAUUGUAGGGAACAAAUAAAAGAACAAGGAUAGAACACACAAGUUUGAAACUGAUUCAAGGAUGUGACUGUUUUUUUUUUGUUUUUUUCAGCAGCUACUCUCAAACACUAAGUAGUAAGAGCAAAAGGGCGUGUAAACACAAAGUAAAACACUCAGAAUAAUUUCACAAAGAAAUCAAAUUUUGUUUUCAACUCUCAAUGCUUAUAACACUUGGCCAUGAGUUCUAUUUAUACUCAACCACUAGAAGAGUUACAUGACAUAGAUAAACUCUUCAACUUCCUCCUAAAAACUGACCAGCCAUAAGGAUUAACAUUCCCUUGUAACAUCCCUAAUUAAACAGCAAAUAAAAGUGCUAAAUAAAGAAAAUCUUUGUAACAACUAUUAAAGGCUAAUUACAGAGGUUUAUUACACAUUUAAAACUGAAAUUCCAAUAGCAAAUUAAAUAAGGAAUAACUCCAAAAAUGUCCACCUUUAUGAACAGCAAAAACUGAACAUAAUGAGCAACAAAUAUUCCCUUUUCAAGCCUUUAUUUAACCAUCCAAUUAAGGCAAGUGAUAAAGGUUUGUUUUGAUGAGAAUCCCAUGAAAUAUUAUGAUCUUUGCUUAGCAUUUUCAUGCACUAGUAAGGCAUGGACCGUAGCAUUAUUAUCUUGCACUUGAGCUGUGUGAUGGACCUCUUGUUGGACUGAUUCCAUAUCACUAACUAAUGGGAAACAGUAAUAGGUUGGCUUUUGGCUACAAUAGUGAAUCCUAAUUGCCCUUAUCAUUUCAUAACAUUUAAUUAUUCAUGUGACCUCAACAAGCAUUACCGAGCAAGUUCUAGAAAUAAGAAGAACACAAUGCACACUGAAACAAGAGAAAAAGAAGAAUUUAUGAUGUACACCUAAUUAGGUUCAAAAACUCACAAUUUAAGUGUGUACAUUUGCAUAAGGUUUCCAAAUACUAUCAAUCAAAUCAUCAUUUAAUCAAUUCAUACACAAAACACAACAACUAAUCAAAUUCAAAUUAACUACUUAAAGAAUGGUCAAGAAACACUAUUUUAACCCAGCCAUUAUGAUAAACUAAAAGUUGCUCAAUAAUAUUCUAAAAGCAACAAACAAUAAGGAGAAAAAAUCACAUGCUCAUAAUCAUAACUAUCAAUCUUUUGAAGAUAAACAAAAAGCUACUAAACAUCCUAAGUAUCCUAAAUAUAUACAUCAUAAAUCAUACAAUAAAUAACAAUCGAAAACAUAAAAAAAAAUAAAAAGCCAAAACAAUGGCUUACCCACCCCACGCUUGAAGGACACACUGUCCACAGUGUGUAAAGGAAAAGAGAUAAAUAUGAAAAAAUAUUGCCCUACUCUUCCUGCUGAGCUGGUGGCGGUGGUGGAGGUGGUGGUGCCUUGAUUGCUGGUAAUGGUGGUUGUACUGGAGGUUUGAGUAGGCGUGUUGAAUAGUCUAAUGCGACCGAUUUGUCCGUUUCUUCCAUGUUUUAGUCCGAUUUCUCUCUAACUUUGAUGAUGUCCUUAGAAAAAUACACGAGACACAAAGAAAAGUAAAACAGGGUGAUUCUAAUAUAAAAACACAUAAUUUGCCCUAAAACUAACUCAAAAUCAAGCAUGCAAACAUGUGUAAUAUCAAGGAUAUCAAUAUAUUAGAUAAUAACAAUAAUUAAUUAACUUUAAUCUCUUGAUUUUAUCAGAUAUUCAGUUAAAUGAAUAUCUAAUAAAAUUCAUUUAAAUUUAAAUAAUUUAUUGAUAAUAUCUUUUAAAGGCAUUUUUUAAUUGAUUAAACAUAUAAAAUGACAUCAAAAUUCGGAAAAUAAGCUAAUCAGGACUGUGUAGAGCUAAUCAACACUAUGUAUAGCCGGUUCGGCUAUCCGUAGAGCUCAUUAGCUCAGGGGCCAAAUGUUCUAAUUUUCCUUGCAAUUUAGUCCCUAAACUUUUAAAAAUUGUUAGUUCACCCUGUAAAUUUAAUUUUUUCUAUCAAUUGGAUCCAAAUUGAUAUUAGGAAAGCUAUUUUAGUUCAAUUACUCGCAGCACUAGCUGGGAUUCAUCCGUCCCCGACCUCUCGAGACUUGAGAAAGGCAGUAACUUUUUCAUCAUCGGAUUUUCCAUAAUUCCCUCAAUUAUCCAGAAAAUGAGUGCUAACACCAUCCAUAAAGCAAAAUGAUUGUCUAGUUAGUGAUUGGUUUUUGUAUGUCAUUUAGAGUAAAAUAAAACAAAAAAACCUGUCACUUGCAAUGUAAAAAGAUUCAACUAGUGAUAGGUAUCAACAGUUCUUCACAUAUUCAAAUUCUUCAAAUAUUCUCUAGAACUUGGACCUCUUUGAAAUUUGGUUAUGUGCAAGAGGUAUGUUUAUCAUAGUUGAUGUGGCUACAUGCUAUUUAUCUAUCGUAAUAACAUUGGUUGAAUUAGUAGAGGCAAUUGAUUCUCGUGUUCAUUCAGCUGCUGAUAUCUGAGCCACAAAAUGAUUCCCAUCAUUCAACUGCUGAUAUUUGAGUUUGUCUUUGACUCUAACCGCAUGGCACUUACUAAAGGAGAUCCACCUAUUUUAAGCCUGAAGCUCAAAAUUUGCUAUGAGAUGGGUUGCUUUCAAUGAUCUCAAGUUCCAUUUGCUUUUGUACAACCCUUUAAUAUUCUCUAUGGACAAAACUCUCAACUUGUGCUAGUCUUUCACUCAUUAGCAUAGUCUGAAAGUCAUCAUAAUCAAUCCAGUAUUCAAAAACAUUAACUUAAAUGAAUUAACAAUCAAUAUCCGUUGCACUAAGUACUUAGAUUCAUAAUUAUUUUUCUUGUCACUUCAUCAAUAAGCAGUCCAUAUCUAGUAAGUGUGUUUAUCUUUGAUUUUUGAAAUUUGGUAGUUUAAUGUUGUUACUUUCCUUGCCUAGCUUUUGCUUUUACUAAUGUAGCAACUACAAGUCCUUUUGCUGCUAAUGCUUUUCCCGCUUUCAAAAUCCUAAUACCUUGCUGAAAGUUAGUACAAAAUAUAAUGUUAAUAUAGAACAUAAGUCUUUAACUUAAAAAACAUUUUUAAUUACCAUCAAUGCCUUAGUGAAAUUCCAUAAAUACCAAAGAAAGGUGGUGAAUUGGUGCUUUUAAGAAGAGAAUGAGAGAUUAAAAUUUGAUUAUAAAAAAUGAAUUAAGUAUAUAAGGAGCAAUAUGUGAUGGUUUUUUAAAGAGAGAAAGAGUUGAACACUUGAUUUAUAGAGAUUCGACACUUAAAGCCUACAUCCUCUCCUCAAUUGCAAUUAAGAAUUCAAUGCACUAAUCAAUUUACAUAUGGUGUAGAUUAAAUCCUUAUAUUUUUCAAGCUUACACAUAAUUUACAUAAGUGUUUUACACUAGGCUCAUACUCAAACCUUAAUUAGUAAUCAAUAUUGUAUAACAACCCUAAAAACACAAAGAAAUUGAAUGCAAAAGGUUGAGUAAUUAAUUCUGCGAGAGUUUGGCCCUAAUUGUUAUUGUCCUUAUAUCAUAUAUGGCCUCUAUAAGGAAUAUUAAUACUGUAUCCCCUCCAUAUGAUUAUUACUAUUAUGUUAUAGACUAAAAAUCUUCUCCAAAAACUUUACAAUCUACAUUAGAUUCACUUAAUCACAGUUAAGAAUCCAACUUCACAAUCGAGAUUUCCUAUCGAAGUCGAGACAUAAAUUUCUCGAUCGCGAAAUGUGAUAGUCUAACGGUUAGUGACACAUCGCUUUCCCCCAUUGGGCCAUCAAGUGGCCGUUAGCGGUUUGCUGACUGAAAAAUGAAUCGUGGUCAUUACUCCACUAUCACGCUCAUAAUGAUCCUAUUAUGUUCAUUUGUCAUGGUCAUGAGGAAGGCCACGAUCUCCACUAUAACUUCUAAGGUACAUGGUCCUUGAUCUCAUUGCGGUCGUUAUAAGAGAACAUGAGCGCGAUGAGCUUAUUAGGUCAUACUUCACUUCUCAUGGUUGUGACUCUAGUUACGAAAUCUUCUAGAGUUCUGAUCUCACUUUAUCACAAUUGUGAGAAUGAGAUAGUAAUUGCGAAAAUCUCUAUUUUAGUCGCGACAUGGUUGUCUUGGGCGUGAUGUAUGCAGCAACUUUGUGUACUUAUAAUUUUUCUAUGUAUAAAUAUUCUCAACCUUCAUGGACUUGAUUUCUAUAAGAAAAGAAAAAACUUGAUAAAAAUAUUAUUGCCUUUUAAUUUAAUUGUCAAUAUUAAGAUAAAGAUUUACUAGUUGUAGAACCAACUCAGAUCAAUGAUCUCCCUCUUUUUUUAUUUUUAUGACUAAAUUAAGCAAAAUAAAAAUUAAGUGCUUUAGGAAUUCGAAUUCAAUAUUAAACAAAGCCCUCUAAACUUAUGGCUCAUUUUAUAUGUUUGACUAUGUGUAAAUUAGGUCAAUUAUCUAUUUCAAUUAAGUUCAAUUGAAUUUUUUUCGCUCUCUCUUUAUCAAUAUUAGAAAGAAGAAAAGAGUAUAAACUGGGGUUUUUAUUUUAUUUUAGGGCGUUUGAAAAUAAUUGUCAUUUUUUAGGAUGGUCAAAAUUCAUGUUUUGGAGUAGUGAAGCCAUUGAGUAGAAGAAGAAAAAAAGAUAUAGUUGUCCGCUUGAAGGACUAGAGGACAAUUCUAUCCGUAGUCUUUCAGGCAGACAACUUUUUUUUUUCUUCAAAAAAUCAAUUCUCUAAUUAUGGUGGAAUUAUGUGUGCAGCUGCUAAAUACAUGCAUGCAACUUGUUGCACACCUAAAUUAACUUUAUAAAAAGAAUUACAACUCAAGUUUUACACCCGUGAAGUUCUUCUGUAAAGUAAGAUGACAACUCUUCCCUCACAUAUCAAUUCGGCCAAACCUUUCUUCCUUUUUCUUUAUUUCUUUCUUUCUUUUGGUGAACUUCAACACUUUGCCUUUCUUUAUUUUAAAAAAUAUUAGUGCAAUAUUUUCUUUUUUACAUUAAAAAAAUACUACUUGUGAGUACAAUAUUUUUUAUUAAUUUUUGUGUUAUUACUUCUUUGCUUUAUAUAUUUUUGAUGCAUUAUUAUAUAAUAAUUUUUAUAAUUUUGUAGGUAUUAUUAGAGUUCUAUAAGAAAUCAUAGGUAAGGACUUUUACCUCUAAUUUUUUAGGUUAUUUUUUGUGUUAUUAUUUUUUCACUUUAUCUGUUCUGUGUAUUACUAUAUAAUAAUAUUUAUAAUUUCUUUUACAUUUUGUUGAGUUUUAUAGUUUUCUUUUUAAUUUCUAUUGGAGUAAAAUUUUCUUUUAAGUAUGAUACUUUUAAUAUUUGUAAAAAAGAUUAUGCAUUAUUUUUUAAUAUAAAUCAAUAAAAAGAAUUAUGUAUAACUAGAAAAUUUUGUAAGCACGGUAAUAUUUAUAAUUUGUGUAGAAAUAUUUUUUAGUAUUGUUAUUAUAUAAUAAUUCUUAGAUAUAAAUGAGCAAUAAUUAUGUAAGUGUAUAAUUUCUGUAAUAAUUUUUUAAAAUAAUUAUGUAAUGAUACUUAUAAUUUUUGUUGGUUUUUGUUGAGUUUUAAAAGAAAUCUUCAUAUUAGGCAACUCAAAAAUUUAUAAAUACACACAUAUAUAUAGUAUGAUAUUUAGAUAUUAUGUUACAUUUAAUAGUUUUAUGUUAUUUAUAAUAUAUGGUGGCUAUAUUAAUAAUGUCCAAUGAUAUUUUGAAUAUCAUUUGUACUGCAUGAGUAGUUUAUUUUGUGUUUAAAAAUUAUAUAGUAAAAGUUUAGUUAAUAUUAAAUAAAAAAAAUUACAUUAGAAAGAAUUAUUCUACCUUAAAUCAUAUUAGAAUUAUGAGUAUACUGAAAUUUCUAUUUGUUGUAAUUAAUUAAACAUGAAGUUUGAGGGUCAAAAUGAUGAUUUCUACAAGUUCAAGGACUAAAUUGAAAAUAUUUUUAGAAUUUUUUCUCUUAGAGCUAAUCAGCUCUGCAUAGAGCCGAUUGGCUUUGUGCAGGGUCGACCGGCUCUACACAGUGUUGAUUCGUGGUUUUCUUGGUCCAUUGUUUUUUAGCAUUUUAACGUCCAAAAUGACUUUUUAGAAGGAUUUUGUUGAUAAAUAUUGGAUUUAUUUGAUUUUAUCAAAGAUAAUCUCUAAAAUAUAAAAUAUAUCAAUCUAUUCUUAGGGUUUUCCAAACCCUAGCUCUAUUAAUACACACUUAACUCUUAAGUUUAGUGGGAAGAUUUUAAGCUAUGAGUAGUCGAUAUACUUUUUGAGAGAAAAAGAUAUAAAGAGUUGAAACACUAAGGAAGAACCAAUGAAUUAGAAAGUUUUAAAAGAGAAAUACAUAAGCUUUUUCAUAUCCCAAGUAGCACUAGAUCCAUAACCGGUCUUUGAUUCAACUGCAUAAUCGUCUUCUGAGACUCGCAGAACAACCAACUAUAGUGACAACCUGAGGGUUCCUCCACAUCCACCAUCAUAGAUUUUAUUCUUAUUAAUUUAUGUGUUUUAUGUGAUUAGAAUAGGUUUUUUUUUAUGAUUACAUUGCUGGGAAUUGAAUCUGAUAGUAAGAACAUUGUUGGAAAUUGAAUUUGAUAAUAAGAACAUGUAGGAUUUUGAUUGUGUUCCCCUUUAAUGAUUGGUAACAUGAUUAGGUUUUAGAUUUGAUCCAUAAUUCUUUCAUAUGUUUUAGUUAAAUGUUUUAGGAUCACAUGAUCAAAAUAUGAUAUUUUUCCCUUUUCUUGUUUACUGUUAGUUUAAGUAUUUUAGGGUUUGCAUGUCCUAGGGUUUCUAUUCCAUUUAUGUUCUUUUUAUGUUUUUUAUUUAGUUUUUCCAUGUUUUAAUUGAUCUCACGUUUCUUGUGCAUGUGUGAUUAGCUCCAAGGCAUCAAAUCGAGGGAAGAAUUGUCAAAAAUCUCCUGCCAAAGCCCUAGAGCCGAUUCGGCUCUAUACCCAUAGCCGAUCGGCUGAGUACCCCAAAUCCUUAGAUUUCGACCAUUUAUGGUGUUUUUCUUUCUCUUUUUAGUUGUAGGCGGGUUGUAAUAGCUAAUCUUACCUUCUCCACUUUAUUUUUCAAUUUUUUUUUACUGCAGGAUCAAAUAAAUAUAACAUGAUUGAUCAACUAAAUGGGCCACAUAGACGUAAACCUUAAAACUAGACCUUAGCAUGAAAAUUAUAGCCUCUUAGCUUAACAAAGAUGGUAAUCAGGCCUUAAUCUAAAAUUCAUGCAGACUUAGUGGGCUUUGCUAUGCUUAAUUAGGUUAAAAUUAGGCCAUAUUAGAUUUAGGGUCAUUAAAUUAGGCCUCUAUAUAAAAAGUAGUUAAUUAGGCUUAAAAGCUUGGUUAUUAAAGCAUAAUUUAUAAUUGGGCUAGUCUAGGUGAGCCUUGUAUAUAAUUAACUAGUAAAUUAUGUUAAUAACUUUAAGUAUUAGGUUGGGCUUUAAUAAAAAGGACUAGACUUAUGUGGACUUCACAUGCUGUAGUGCUUGAUGUGUAGAAAUAUUAUGUUGUAUUUAUAGGAAAUAGCCUGUUAAAUACUAAAAUUAAGGAAAAAUAUACACAAAUAAGGAAGUUGGCUUUCGGGUCCAUGUCUAGAUUUCUGACGUAAGCUUCCUUAUGGAAUCAAUAAACAAAUGUCUUGAUUAUGCGAGCGACUCCCAUCUCCGCGCUAGUCUCUGUGACUAGUUAAUGCGUUUCCAAUUAGGUCGAAAAGCCUUGAAGUGCUAUAAUCGCUAACACUUGAGUGCGCGUCCGAAACCGCAGCCCAAAGUGGCUACUACGCUAGGGAUAAGAGAAGUUGAUUCCAGUGUAUGUUUGUCUUUAAUUUUAUUAUUUAACAGGUGAUUCCUGCAUCAUUACACCAUUAUCACAUAUUGUGAACAUUGGUCCCUAUAGCCUGAUCGCGUUGGUUAAUGGUUCUUUGGUUCCACUCACACCCUAGAAUUGUAACACUGGCUAACCAUCACUCACAAGUAAUGAGUGGAUUUCCUUUGUUGCAUGAACCUUAAGUGGGGAGACGAGCUAAGGAAGAGCACUUCUUACUUGUGGGAUCCUUUUAUCCUUAUCCAAGACUCAGCUCAAGGUAAUGACAGUAGCAAUCUCCCUUAGGAAUCCUUAUUACUUAAUGUUCCUCAUUAUAAGUACUUAAGCCGAACUACUGAAAAGCCUUGGCCCAAAGACAUGUGGAAUCAGGCCUCGGGCAUAAAAUAUACAGUCUUUGUACUUAUAUUGAGAGACAUUGCCUUGUUUGUUUUAAAUAUGCUUUGAGAGCUUAUGGCAUGCAUGUGUGGACCUACUAUCGCUUGUUAAUAGAAAGCCCAUACCUAAAAACCUAGGGAAGAAAAGACCUACCUUGAACCGUGUGCGGGAGUAAUAAGGUUAGAAUGAUGAUUUGUAUAUUAAUGUGUGUGCUAACAUAUUUUUCUUUUAUUUUCGUGCAUAUCAUGUGCAUUAUGCAUCACAUGCAUCACACUGACCCCUUAAUUUUUAGCCAUAUAGAUUCUCCUUUGGGUUGGCAGAGGCAAGAUAAUGGGAGGCUGGAAAGGGUACCCAUUUCUCUAAGGAUCUGAAUUGUAUUAGAGCUUCUUGAAAGACUCAGGCGCCAAGCUACCACCGAAGCUACAUCUGAAAUGGCCAACGAAAGAGCUAACGGGCAAGACGCAAAGAUCCUCAAGAAUGUCAUCAUUGAUGAUCUGAGGAGUGUGAUUUGGGAAGAACUCUUAUAGCUUUUAGUGGGGAUGGUUACAAACCAAGCCCCACCUGUUGCUCUAGUUGCAUUGACUAAUUCCCUUACUGCCAAUGACCUAGUUGUAGUUAUAACUGAGACUACUGCUGCAACUGCUACCGCUACUAUUGCUGCUGCUAAUGAUAAUACUAAAGACCUGGCUAGAAGAGGAAUGCCUCGGAAUUUUUAGGAUUUUGACGAAUAUGUGUUGGACCAAUCUAAAAGGGAAAUAACCAUUACCAUUGAUGAAGCUGUAAGUGGCUUAAUUGCUAAGCUUAAUAAGAUGCAAGACAUGCUGGAAAUUAUAGGGUUGGACCCAACCUAUGAUUUCGAGGAGUUAGUGUUGACUGGUGAGGUUAUCUCGGCUAUCUAGGGAAUUUUAAAGCAAAUGGAAUCUUAAGAGAAAAGGCUUAUAAAAACUUAUAAGUUGCCUCAACUUAUACACUUUGAUGUAAGAAAAAUUUAAGAGAAGCAAGGCGUUCAACCUUGUCAUCUUGAAGAUUGGAAAUCAAGUGAGAAUGAGAAAGAUGAUGAAAAUGAUGAACACUAGAUUCUAAGUGCCAAAUAUUUUUCUAUGCUUUGUUUUAAAAUUUCAUUCUUACAUUACAUCUUUAGCACUUUACUUUUUUAUCAUAUAUAUGUCCAUAUUCUCUCUAUAAUGUUUCUUUGUAUGAUGAAAGUUUUAUCUUUAUUUUAAGUCUUCAUCAUUAUAUUCUUUCUUCACGUUAUAUUCUUUGUUAUCUUUAUAAAGGGGCAGAAAUAAGACAAAAAUGAAAGCAGAAAAUGGUUAUUCAAUUAUCUUAUUAAGGGGGAGGAUAAUUAAAAAUUAUUUGGAAUCAAUUUGUCAUUAUUUUGUUUAUGAUUUAAGGGGGAGAAUAUUGAAAAUCAUUGUCUUUAUACUUUAUUUUUGCUCAAUAUAAUUGUCAAAAUAAAAAAAAAAGGAGUGAUUGUUAGCAUAAGUCACUUUAUGAACUUAAAUACCCUGAAUUUUUUUAUCUUCAAAAUCAAAUUGAGUAGCAAUAGUCAUAUCUUUUUAGUGUCUUUUGUAGGUUUCUUACUUAAUCAAAAGCCUAGAUUUCAUUUAUGUCCUCUAAAUCAUGACCGCUAUAUAAGGAUCACCAUCGUGAAACUAAAAUAUCUCAUAGUCGUUGAAGCAGAGAUGCAAUCGUUAUUGCAAUAAGCUUAAAUUUCAUUAUAGAGAACAUCGUGACCCUCAACGUCUACUGCAACAUUGAAAGUGAUAAAAAUCUUUAAAAAUGAGUAAUGGUUUUUUUAGUAGGUUGGGGCUAUAAAUACCCCUUUAAAGACUAUUGAAUAAUGAUAAACAACCACGCAUAACUCAAUUUAUUAGUAUUUCAAUUCUCACCUUUAUGUGUCAUUUUUAUCUUUAUAAAAGGUUGUUGUAAAGGUUUAAAUGGUAACCUUAGCACUUGGUUGGAUUGGAGAGUUAGCUAGUGAGAUAAAAACUCUUGUAAAGGGUUUGAGUGUGAGCCUAAAAAUACUAAGAAAAAGGUUUGAGAGUUAGCCUAAAUAGAAAAAAUCUCGUGAGGUUUAAUAUGACACUAAGUUUAGGAGUGAGUUUGGAAAAACUCCUAGUGAAUAAGUUUAAGGGCGAGCUUGAAAAAUACUUAGAUUUGAUCUUACACUUGUAAAAUGAUCAUUGAUAAUGAAAUACCCAAUUAUAGAUUAGGGAGUUGUAGGGAUGGUUAAUAUCUGAAUCAUUAUAAAUGUUUGUGUUAGUUCUUUUGCCUCUCUAUUUAAACUUGAUUGAAAUUUUUAAUUGCCUAUUAACAUUUUAAAUACCAAUUCAACUCCCACUUUAGCGCAUUAAGAGAAAACACGUUUGAUUUCUUCAUUGUAAUAUAUUACAUGAUGGUUUAUUUCAUGAGAUCGGUUUGAUUAUGAAGGGAUUUGUUUUCUAUAACUCCUAAUGGUUUCUGGAUACUAAUUGCAUGCUUGAUCGAUUGUUAUAGUUCUUAUAAACCUUUUUUUUGUGUUAAAAGGCAUUUUUUUCCUUUUAUUUAAAUUUCUUUCAAUUUUGUUUUGCUUUAGUGUUAAGGAAUUUUUUUUUUAUUUUAAUUUCUUUUAAUUUUUUUGUUUAGUGUUAAAGAACUCUGUUUCUUUUAUUUAAUUUCUUAAGAUUGAAUACUUACCUUUUUAUGUCUUUUAUUUUGCAGAUGAAUCUGUUUGUGUUCUCUUAUAUUUGGGCUAUGGUGUUUAUGGGUCUUCGUUUAUUGCAUGACAUCUAUGUUGAAAUAUUUCUAACUCGCUAUUUUUUUUUUAAAUUAUCGCAUGUGUUGCAAAAUAUGCAAGGUGGGUACUGUGGUGAUCUUUUCUCUUCUUCUUUUUUCCAGAAAAAAAGCCCUUCCUUUUUUCUUCCCUUUGUUGCCAAAAUAUAAGAUGCUUUGUAUUGGAAUCUUGAUAAUAAUUUUUUUUAUUUUAUUUUGGGUGUGAGGAUAAUGCUAGCGUGAUUAAUUGUUUGAUUUGUCAAAGGGAUGUUAACUUACUAUAUAUAUAUAAUUUUUUUUUCUUCCUCUUGUUUUGUAUUUGUCAUUAGAACAAUUUAUGUAUCUUUUUGCAAUUGCAGUGUUUCUCAUGUCUGUUGCAUGAUAAACUUCUUAGUUUUUCAUGUGAUUGCAUAUUUAUUUUUAAAUUUUGGGUCGGUCCUUUGUUCUUUCAAUGGGAUUUUUGUUUAACUUGAGAUGGUAAAAACCUAUGAUAAGAAAAAAGGCUUAGAUUGCUAAUUUUCUUAUCUAAAAUGAUAUGUUAUGGAUAACUUCUUUACCUUUUUGAAAUUAUUUGUUAGGCCUAGUUUUAAUUGUACAUAAUUCUAGAAUGCUAAUCAUGACCUACUCUGUCCUAUGACCUAUUUUUUAACCUAGUUAUAUAAUGUCGUCAUUAACCUUAAUUGCAUUUUAUUCCAAUUUUCAAUGUUUACCAUUUCACUUUCUAUCUCGUGGUAUAUAUACAUCAACUUGCAUGCGCCAAAAGAUGCUUUUUCUCAUAUAACCUCAUACGUGUGUGUUGUCACGAGCUUGGUCUUUCUACCAUCGAACCGUGCGGCACUAGUUACUUUCUAUCUGCAGACAAGUAAGUUAGUCAGUCUUAUUCUUCGAAUGCUAGGCAAAAUGCUAAGAUAACAAGAAGAACAAUAGAGAACUUAAGAUAGCUUAGAGAGCUUUUAGAGAGAGAAGUUGCUUGCUCUUCUACUGAACUUUUGCUUUAUUAAGCUUGAUGAUUACAAAUAAAAUCUCUAAUCUAUAUAUAGGCCUCCACCUUCUUAAUGGACGGUGAGGAUACAUUUGAUCUAAUGGCUAAAAUUAAGUAUCUAGAAUGUUCUACACAAAUCACUUUAUCUUCAUUUGUCUUUUGUUUUCUCUCAAAUCCCUUUUCGCUUUUUCUUUGAUUUUUCAUUUGUUUCUUAAUUAAAUCUUACUAGACUGGUCUUGAAAUGGUAGCCUCAUCAUCGAGAUUCUCAAGACGCACUCCGAUCGUACCGAACUAGGAGUUCUCACCACCAAUUUCUCGCCAAAAUGACUUAGGUCUUGUGAAAGGAGAGGAGAUCCCCCUUUUGGCAAAAUUGAACACUCACCGGGCAUAUUUUACCAUUGAAGAGGUAUUUGUCUGGCUUUCAACUUUGUUCCUUGUCACUUAUACACUAGAUAAACGCGUUAUUUGUCCAAAAUAGAUAUAAUUUUAUGGAAAAAGUGCGAAAAAAGAUAUGUCUUAACCCAUAGAGCCGAUCGGCUCUGUGCAAUACUUCCUCAAGCAAAAGAAACUGACUCCGAAGCAAGUAAGAUGGCAAGAAUUCCUUGCGGAGUUUGACUUUAUGAUGGAGUACAAGCCGGAAAAGGAAAACUUAGUGCCCGAUGCACUAAGUAGAAAGGCAGAGUUGGCUUCCAUCACUAGCGCCAACUUUCCUUUGGUGGGUCGUAUCAAGGAGGGACUCGAGCAUGACCCGCAAGCCAAGAAAUUUGGUGGAAUUGGCGAAGAAGGGGAAGACUCGUCAAUUCUGGCUAAAGGAUGGGGUGCUCAUCACCAAGGGAAAUAUAAUCUAUAUGCCGAAAUGGGAAGGCUUGAGGAAGGCCAUCAUCAAAGAGUGCCAUGAUUCAAAAUGGGCGGGCCAUCCAGGCACGCAUCGCACGUUGGCACUUGUGGAGCGUGGAUAUUACUGGCCCCAGAUGCGGGACGACAUUGAGCUUUAUGUCAAGACAUGUCUUGUGUGUCAACAGGAUAAGGUGGAGCAAAACAAGCCCGCUAAUUUGUUAGAGCCAUUACCGAUUCUAUAGAGGCCCUGGGCAAGUAUCUCCAUGGAUUUCAUCACAUGCCUACCGAAGUCUGAAGGAUGUAGCAACAUUAUGGUAGUUGUGGAUCGUUUUAGCAAAUACGGAGUUGUUCAUUCCUGUUCCUAUAAAGUUCAUGGCCGAGGAUGCAGCACGCCUAUAUCUCAAACAUGUGGUGAAAUAUUGGGGCAUAUACCGAAGACCAUUAUCAACGAUCGAGAUACUCGCUUCACUAGAAGGUUUUGGAUGGAAUUAUUCAAGCUUAUGGGGUUUGAGCUUAACUUCUCUAGAAGCUUUCAUCCCCAAACCGAUGGACAAACAGAAAGGGUGAAUGCCUUGCUAGAGUUAUUCUUGAGACAUUAUGUGAGUGCCAACCAAAGUGAUUGGGCAAUGUUGCUCGAUGUGGCCUAAUUCUCAUAUAACUUGUAGAAGAGCGAGUCAACAGGGGCGAGCCCAUUCGAGAUUGCCACGGGACAACAACCAUUGAAUCCAUACACAUUAGCUGUAGGGUAUAAAGGCCCUAGCCCCUGCAGGAUUCAAGUAUGCUAAAGGAUGGCAUGAGAAAGCCGACAUGGCACGCGCUCAUCUAACCAAGGCCGCCAAGAGAAUGAAGAAGUGGGCGGAUGAAAAGAGGAGGCACUUGGAGUUUGAGGAGGGGGACUUAGUGAUGGUAAAGCUCCUUCUCCAUCAAAGCCGAGGGUUUGCUAAGGUGCAUAAAGGACUAGUAAGGCGCUACGAAUUUCCUUUUGUAGUGGAGCAACGAGUUGGGAAGCUAGCGUAUCGCUUGCGUAUAUAAUGAGAACCUCAUCAUUAUAAACUCGCUUUAUAAUUUCUCGUACAUUUAUGUUUACAUUCCAUGGUGUUCAUCUCUAACGGUUCAGAUUAUUUCUUAAUAAUACCCUAUUACUCGUACCAUUAGAGUCGAACAAUUUCUUUAGUAUAAUUGUAUGCCAUCAAUUGUGAUGUAUAAAUUAACACAGAUUGUUUGACAAUUCUUUGUCUUUAGGGCAUACUCUAACACCUCCGAAAGAACCUUUUGUUCUCUUUUUGAGGAGGAACCGUUUAUUGUUCCUUCGGUGGAACCUUUUGUUCUUUUUAUUUUGGAAGAACUGUUUGUUGUUCCUUCGGUGGAACCAUUUAUUCCCUUCUUUAGGAGGAAUUGUUUGUUGCUACUCUGGUGGAACCAUUUGCUCUCUUUUUUGGGAGGAACCAUCUAUUAUUCCUCCGAUGGAACCUUUUAUUUUCUUUUUUGUGAGGAACCAUUUGUUGUUGUUCCGUUGGAACCUUUUGUUCUCUUUUUUGAAUUGUUUAUUAUUCCUCUGAUGGAACCUUUUGUUCUUCUUUUUUAGGAGGAACUGUUUGUUGUUCCUUUAGUGGAACUAUUUCUUCUCUUUUUAAGAAGGAACUGCUUAUCGUUCCUCCGGUGAACCAUUUAGUUUUCUCUUUUGAGAGGAACCAUUUUACUCAAAGACUUUGAAUUUACCAUUGGGGAAUCAUCUCACUUAAAGAUUUUUAUUGAAUGUUCCUUUGGCGAAACCAUCUCACUUCGAGAUUUUUAUUGAAUGCUUCUAUGGUGGAACCAUCUCACUUAAAGAUUUUAUUGAACAUUUUAUUGACGAAAACCAACUGACUUAAAGAUUUUAUUAAAUGUUCCUCUCGCAGAACUAUACCACUAAAAGAUUUUUAUUGAAUGUUCCUCUAGUGAAACCAUCUUCACUUAAAAAAUUUUAUUGAAUAUUCCGUUAGGGAACCAUCUUACUUAGAGAUUUUUAUUGAAUGCUCCAUUGGCAAAACCAUUUCACUUAGAGAUUUUUAUUGAACAUUCCUCUGGCAGAACCAUCUCACUUAGAAAUUUUUAUUAAAAACGGCAAAACCAUUUUACUUAAAGAUUUUUAUUGAAUGCUCCAUUGGGGGAACCAUCUCAUUUAGAGAUUUGUACUGAAAAUUCCUCAGGUGGAACCAUCUCACUUAGAUUUUUUUGAUUGAGCAUUCCUUUGGCGAAACCAAAUCACCUAAAGACUUUUAUUGAACGUUCCUUUAGCAAAAUCAUCUCAUUGAAAGAUUUUUAUUGAAUGUUCCUCUAGCGGAGCCAUCUCAUUUAGAUAUUUUAUUGAAUGUUCCUCUAGCAUAACCAUCUUACUUAGAUAUUUUUAUUGCAUGUUCCUCUAGCGGAACCAUAUAACUUAAAGAAUUUUAUUGAAUGUUCCUCUGGUGGAUCCAAAAUAAGAGUUGCAAGGUUCAUCUCCUUUGUCUUUAUAUUUCCAUUGUCCUUCGAUCUCUUCUAUCUAUUUCUAUCUUGUUCUUCAUUCUUUCCCUUAAUGAAUCUACGAAGUUAUCCAGCCUGGACAAGCCUUUCUAUUUCCUUCUUGAGAUAAUGACAUUCUUCUAUUGUAUGCCCAUAGUCUUCAUGGAAAGCACAAUACUUAUUAAUAUCCCUUUAAUCCUUCUUAGUUCGGUUUAACUCUUGAGGCUAACAACUGUCCUUUUUGUUCUCUUUUACCCAUAUUAGAAUCCUAGAGCGAGAUUCUCAGUGGCAUGUACUCUUGUCUCCCUUCUUCCUUUUUGGAAUUUCUGUCAUUUUCUCUUUUAUAGCCUCUCUUUUCUCUAACACUUUUUUGGUACUUUCUUAAUAUGCUAACUCGUAUUUCAUCAUGGUUCACCCUCAUCCAAAUUCACGUACUUUUGUGCCAUCACCAUUAAUUUCGUUAAUGUUUCCAAAUUUCUAGUAUGCAAUUUGUCAAUUAAUUUUCCCAGGUUAGGAAUACUCUGCAUAAAAUUGCAUCUGUCACAUCUAACAACUACAUCUUGGUUUUAAAUUUUGAUACGUGAGUCAUUGGGUCACUUGUUCCAUCGAAGGAGUCUAUGGUGGGCAGCUUCACUUUGUACAUAAAUUUUUCUUCUAAAAUCGAGUCAAUUAGCGGUGAGCCAUGUUCUACAACUUUUCUAAUUUGAAGUCUAGUUUCUACAUUCAGCUUAAUGCGUCCUCUAUUUCUUCUCUUAUUUCUUUGUUUUUCAUGGUGUCUCCAGUUGAUUUCUUAACCGUCUGACUCCUUUUGAUCUUUAUUGAUUCUAACUCAUUUGCCUCGUCUUCUUCUAUUGAAGAUCUCUGAUCUAAGCUAGUAUGCUUGGUGGACUUAUUGGUUGAUGCCUUUUAUGUUCAGCUCGUGUGGAAGAUCUAUUCUUCUCCAGGAUUGAUUCACUCUUUCCUCUAGUGUUAUCGGCUACAUCUCUCUGCCUUUGUUCUCUAGUUUGCAUUCCGCUGCUAUUCAGUUAAUUCCUUUGAUUUAAAGCAUUUCUAUUCGCUUGUUCUCCUAAAAGCAUUUAUAUUAGUCGAUCUUAGAAUUAUGUCAGCCAUAAAUUAACUUCUCUAUUAAUUACAUCUUGAUACUACGGUUGUAAUGCAGCUAGGGGAUUAUUGUUUAGUGGUAUAAGGGUUCCACUUAGGAAGGCAAUAAGUGUUUUGCUUGGAUCUUGGAACAAUAUCGGUCCUAAAUUUCUUAAUGGUGGAUGUUGUGUGUAGUUUUUUUUUGGAGGGGGGUGGGGUUGUGUAUGGGUAAGGAUGGGAGUAUUGAUAUGGACCAUACAUGUAUGAUGUUUGUUAUGCUCGAGGCAGUUGAUCACAUAUAGGCGGUAUCAUACCUAGUGAUGGUGGUUUUGAAGUGUGGGUGUCUUCAAGAUGAGACAUUAUUUCUUUUAGGAAAGUAAUCAACAUAAUUUAUAUAUAAAAAGCUUUGAAAAUGAUCCCACAAAUGGUGCCAAUUAAUUACUAUCUAAAAAAAUUAAUGUAAUCGAACUGAAUCUUUCAUUCCUCUUGUUGGCAAUAAACAGGGUAAGAGGGAAUAUGAGACUUGAUGUCCAAUAUUCACUUUGACGAGCAAGUUAAUUGAGGUUCAAAUGAGAAUGAAAGAUUAAUAGUGAGAUAUGAUGAUUUGAGUUAGGGUUCACUUGGCUGAACUAAACCCUCUUAGGAUUCAGCAUUUGAGUGUGUGUUUAUAUAUACUAAUAAUGACCAAGUCCUACAAGGGUUCUACUUGUCAUAUCCUCUAACUAUUGUACGAUUCGAUUCUCCUCCUCCAAGUCAAUAAUAUCUUUGUCAUCAAGAUCAAGAUUAAGGAUUUCUAAGUUUAUGAAAUGACUUAGGCUAAUAAUUUUCCCUUUUUGAUUUUGACAAUUAAAUUGAGCAAAAAUAAAGUACAAAGACAAUGAUUUCAAUAUUCUCCCUCUGAAACCAUGAGUAAGAGGAUGACAAAUUGAUUCCAAGUUAGUAUUAAUUAUCCUCCCUCUUGUAAAGAUAAUUGAUUAACCAUUUUUUGCUCCUUUCUCACCCUUUAUCAAGAUAAAAAAGAAUAUAACAUGAAGAAAGAUCGUAAUGAUUAAAGUUUAAAAUAAAGAUUAAACUUUGAUUAAAUAAAGGAACCUUACAGAGAGAACAUGGACAUAUAUCUAAUCAUAAAGUGAAGUGUUAAAGAUGUAAUACAAAAAUGAAAUUUUUAAAUAAAGCAUAGAAAAAGAUUUGGCACUUAGAAUUUAGUCUUCAUUGUCCUCCUCAUUCUUACUUGAUUCCCAAUCUUCAAGAUGACAAGGUUGAAUGUCUUGAUUCUUUAAAGUUUCCCUUACAUCAAAGUGAAGAUGUUGAAGAAACUUAUAAGUCCUUUUAAGUCUUUUCUCUUGAGAUUCUAUUUGUUUCAAAAUUCUCUUUUGAAAUGAAGUUUCAGAAUUUUCUUGAGCCCUUUGCUCAACCACUUAAGAACUUCUCUCUUCUUCUUGAAUAGGAAAUGGCACUCUUUACUGUGGUUAGCACCAAAUCUUUUCAAAUUAAGAUUUUUAUAAGUCUGAUGAUGAGAUAUUUUAGUUGGUGGAAUGCUUUGAAUGAAUAUUGCAUGUUAAAGCCUUGGAACCCAAAAAACCACACUUCAGCAAAGUUGCCAGACUGACCUCAUACACGUUAAGUCUAACCUCACACUAGCUCAGGCUAAGACAUCUCGACUGACCUCACACACAUUCAAGCUAUGCUCAAGCUAGCUCAACCUUACCCAGUGCUCGUUCAGGCUAGGGCAGGGCCUCUACAGCUUUAUGUCAUGUCAUUUCAAGAUAAAUAUUUAUCAAAUGACAUGGUGUCAUCCUGGCCUUCUAAUCUCUAACCUUAAAACACAUCAUAACCCUUUAUUUUAGACCCUAGAAACCUAUAUAAACUCAUCUUUAUCUUUUCUUUUUCUCUCUAAUCUCUAAUCUCUAAUCUUUAAUCUUUACACCCUACAUACACACACAUAAAAGACCCUAGCCCCAAUUUUUCUCUCUACACUUAUUCUCCCCCUAAACACCAAAAAUUCUAAAAGAAAAACCUAACUCCCUUCACUCCCAAAUUAGGAAGUGUUUCCAAAGGUUUUACAUUCUUCUUCAUUUAUUCAAAAGUACCCUUUUGAUUUUCAAACUCAAACCCAUCACUUGAGGACCAACUCUAAUUUUAUUUGACAAUUGGUGUAUAUUUUAAAUGUUUUAAUUUUCUUCUUCAUCAAAUUUUAUUCCUUUUUUUUCUUUUUGUAAUUUGGGUGUAAAACCCAUUUGUUUCCCCUUAGUAAGGUGAAGACGUGCAGGUUCAACCCAGACCCUUCGGAUUUAAAUCAUUAGUACAGAACACACUCGUUUUAGUAUUUUUAGACUUCUAGAAGCUUGGACUCGUGCGGGCUUCACUUGUAGUCGCACGGGUUCAACCUUAAUAACUAUGUGCAUUGUCAUUUUUUGUUUUCUCCUGUCAUUUUAGCAAUCUGGGGCUUUUGGAAAUCGAACCUCGUGCGGUUUAGCCUGUACCUGUGCGGGUUCAGCUUGUACCCGAGCAGGUUCAGCCUAUACCCAUGCGGGUUCAACCUGUACUUGUGCAAAUUCAGCAUUAAUAGUCCUUUUUUUUUGCUGAUCUGGCUGCCAUUUUGCUAUUUUAAGGCCUUUGGAGGCUGACCUCGCGCUAGCUCAGUCUAACCCAACACUUGUUCAAUCUGCCAGAACUUGUUUAAUUUCCAUUAAAUUUUAAUAAACUAUGUGCUUAAUUAUACUUCUCGCCAUUUAAUUUCCUUAUAACUGUGCGCAGUAUCUAUUAUUUACUACAUUUUAUUUAUAUUCAUUUGUUUUGAGUCCUUAAGGCCGUGUUUGUAACAAUUUUCCCCUAAGUGCUUGAUGAGCAUAGUUUUACACAUAUUUGCUUGCAUAUUAUUGCAUAUGUUCUUAGCAAUUAUUGUGCAUUUAUUCCCAGAUCACCCGUGUUUCGUGUUCUUUUGCAUUUCAGGAACAUUUAUAGGACCGUCAUCGGUGUCUAAGCAAUUAUAGAUCAAUACGUGCUGAAACGGACGAGAAUUCAUCAAUAUCGGACAAGAGCCCGCAAUGCAUACAUUGAGCACGGCCUGGACUCUGGCCGUGCUCAACCAUUGGCUUUGAUUCUUGAAAUUUGCACUUUGGGCAUGGUUUCCGUAGCCACCACAGCCUUCAGCACGACCCGUGGUGGCCAACACAGGGAGAAACACGGCCCGUGGUGGCCAACACGGAGAGAAACACGGCCGUGGUGAAACCCUACUUGGUGAGAUCCACAGUUUCAGCAUGGCCUGGACUUCGGCCGUGCUGACCAGCACGGCCUUGAACACGGCCAUGCUGAGUUAAAUAUAUAAGAAAAAUGAAUUUUUCUUAGAAAAGAGAGGGGGAAAAAGAGUGACAUAGAGCCUUGGCGGCUGGUUCGGUUUCUGCACAGUAUUGAGUGCAAGAGAGAGUUGCGGUGAGUAAGAAUCCUAGAAUCGCAAGGUUCCGAGUGCAAAAUAGUAGUGGAGUAAUUCAAGAGGCAGUUUGGGAGAUUAAUCAAAGUGUAGAUCCAGAUUUGGAGCUGUUCAUCCAAUUCGAGAGAAAAGGGUGUACAUGUUUUAUUUUCAUUAUUCUUUCAUUGUAAUUGAUUUCCUAGAUUGUUUUAAACAUGAACAUGUUUAGCAAGACUGAUUUAAUCCAUUGGGAUUUCUUUACUAUGUUGGCUUGAUACUAUAUUGUUGGAUUAUUUGAGUUGGUUUUGUAUUCUUCUUAUUUUCAGUAUUAAUAAGAUAAUGCAUUAUUCAUGAGACGUUGUGAAUUGUGAUGUUUAGAUUGCUUUAUGAGAUUGAGAAAUGCGUUUGGCAAUUGAAAUUUUGAAUAGCAAGAACUGGUUAAUAAUCGCUUAGAGAUAAGGAUAAUUAACUAGCCGGAUUAAGAAUUAACAAAGCUUUAUAGAGGCGGAUUAAAGUUUAAUGCUAAUUUAAGAUUCAAUCGUUAGGAAGAGAUUCCAACUUUAGGUUAUUAGGUUUAGGAAUUCGGUUAUCUCGAGAGAGAAACCGAAUUCGGUUAAGAAUUCUUUCACGGGUAGCAUAAUUAGACUCACCGAUCCUUUAUCUUUUGUUUGGUUGCCAACUAGUUUAGAUUUUCUUUGGGUUUGUCUUCUUGUCUUGAUUAUUUCAUUUAUCAAUUACUCAUGCAUCUCCCUCAGAACUUAGCUUGUAGUUAAUAGUUAGUUUAGAAAUUAUUCAUCAUCCAUUUUAGAUUAAUAUAACAAAGAACAAAAAAGUAACUCUGGGCUUUCACUUUCCCGAGGAAUACGACCUUGAUACUCGCCAUUAGUGCUAGACUGCAUCGAUAGGUACACUGCCUUGAUACGACCUUUUUGAGUUACCUUUUCAUUUCUAUCUCCUCUUGAGUUGAUGGUAAAAGAAAUGAUCUUAUGGAGAAACCAAUGAGAAAGGAACUUGAUGCUCCUGGCUAAAGAGGAUUUGGCAUCAUAUUUUGCUUCAGUGGAUAUUUCUUCCCAAAUGGUGGAGAAUCACAUCUUCAUAUCCGUGAUAUGGAACAUUUCCUCAUUAUAAAAGCCAAAAACUUCUUUUACUUGUUGCCUAGUUAGGCCAUAAGGCUUUCCAAAGAGGUUGAAGCAGAUUCUAUAGAAGCCUAAUGGGUCACUAAGUUUCUUCUUUACAUCCUACGGUGCAAAGAAAUUCCCUAGUAAGUUCUUCAUACCCAUUCUCAUUUUGAAAUACAAGUUUCUCCCACCCAAUAGCUCCUAAGAAUCCUAU
rnacentral:lncRNA from 1 species